AAAAGAACUAGGGUAUGGUACUAAAACACUUGCAUGUGGUAUUACUACUCCAAGAGUUAUAAUAUAGGUGGAUGACAGUUUGAUGAUGAAGCGAAUAGUGUUAAUAACCAAUUUGCAUGUUAUAAUGUAUAAAUGAAUUAAUUAUACUACGUGACAAUGUUUCAGUACCACAUAAUAUAUAAUCUUCGACAAAAUUGGAUCCAAACUAAUGUUUAGCCAUAAUCGCAUGUAUAAUCGAUAGACGUGUUGAUAUACUGUUGAUUCUUUUUAUAAUGAUAGAAGUCAUAUGACCUCAAUUUUUUAUUAAUCCCGAGAAGAAUGAAAAACUUAUACUGAAACACAAUCAUGCAAUAUUCCGUAUGCCAUUGAAACACAAUCAUGCAAUAUUUGUUACCCGUGGUUUAGUACGAUCUCUCUCCCGAGAAGAAUAAAAAUCUUAUAUUAUCUUUAGCUAGAAUAUAAUAUAAGAUGGUUAAGCUCAUCGAAAACCAGGCUGACACUGGAGUUACACCUUUUAAAAUGAUCAGCCUGUGAAAGAAUCUGCAACUCUCCAAUCUCCAUCAAACUUUACGACUAAAAUGAAAGGAGGUUUAUGCUUUCCAACCCUAAUUUUUUUGUCAUUUGCAUGUGUGUGAACGUCGAUGUUUGCUUGUGCCAAAAGGAUUCCAUAAGAUUAGUGGAACUCCAAUUCAAUGCUCAAAAGCUAUGACUAGAUGAAAAUGUAAACAAAAUCAUCUGAUCAUCUCCCUUUUAAUUUUUUUCUCCAUGGACGGUUUUGGAUAUCCUAAUCAUCUCAAAAGACAGACGUCCCUCAAUCGCACACAGCCAUCCAUUCCAUCACACACAAAAGGAAAAUUCUCGUCCCUCAAUCGCACACAGCCAUCCAUUCCAUCACACACAAAAGGAAAAUUCUCUUUGGCUCAGCAUUCCAUCGUCCAUACAAAACCCAUCCCUUUCUUCCAUCCUUUUAACACAUUUGACAAUGAAGUUUGCAGGCUAAAUUAAUCAAUUCGAAAAGGAGAUUCCUUGCAUGUCCCACAUCUUUGCUUUCUAUUAUUCCUUACCCUUUUUUUUCGAUGUGUACAAAUAAAAUGCCACCUAUUAAUUCAUUCUUCAUUCAUCCCCUACCUCUCUCCUCCCUCCACCCUCUUCAUUGCAUCUCAUGGAGGUAUGCCCCUAAAUUAAUUGCAAUCACAUACUUCCAGAUUACAUGUAUUAGUCCAUGCUUACGUUAAUUUUUUUGUUUGUCAAAUGCAGAAACCUCGGGUGACGGAGAUUCAUGUUCGAAUGGACUGUAACGGAUGUGUGCAGAAGAUAAAGAAAGCGCUACAUGGCAUCAAUGGUGAGAAAUUAAGAGUUCCAUGUUUUUUAAUUUUUUGUUUUUGGUAUGUUUCUUACACUAAGAACGCAGCUUUUAUUAGCUUCUAGUUUUUCAGUGAAGAAUCAUUUUUCUUUUUCUGCAGGUAUAUAUGAGCUUUACAUUGACUUCCCACAACAAAAGUUGACAAUAAUUGGGUGGGCGGAUCCGGAGAAGAUAGUAAAAGCGAUUAAGAAGACGAGGAAGAUUGCCACCAUAUGUUCCCACACAGAACAACAAACAGAGCCUGCUCCUCAGCCGCCAGAACAAGCACCGGAGAAUGGUGCACCAGCUCCUGAGGUGGCAAAUCCUCCUCCGGCAGAAGCACCACCACCGGCUGAGGCAGCUCCGCCAGCUGAAGCUGCCUCGCCAGCAGAGCCACCGAGAGAAUCACCACCGCCUCAACAGCCAGCACCGGAGCCAGCAACGCCAACACCUGUAGCUGCUGAGACUAACCCCGGGCAACAAAUACACCACCAGAGACCAAGAGACGUUGGAGAAGUUCAUACAAUUUACCACCAGAGUCACCACCCACCGGGACAAUCACCACCGCCUCAACAGCCAGCACCAGAGUCAGCAGCGCCAACACCUGUAGCUGCUGAGACUAACCCUGGGCAACAAAUACACCACCAGAGACGAAGAGACGUUGGAGAAGUUCAUACCAUAUACCACCACGGUAACCCUCCACCUGAUUAUGGCUAUAGAUAUGGCUACUCUCAAGGCUACAAUGGCUACUGGAACGGAUACCAUAACAGCCAAGGACCUCCACCGGAGCCUGCCCCUAUCCCCACCCCAAUGGGCCCUUCCCCGAUGACCCCCGCCACAAUGGGCCCUCCUCCGAUGAGCCCCACCACAAUGAGUCACACCCCACCUCCACCUAUGUAUGUAACACACAGCUACAACACAUACAGGCCAUCACCUUUUGUUACAGAAUAUCGAUACAUCCAGCCGCCUCCACAACCCACACAUUUGAGCAGGACGAACCAUUACAACGAGCAUUUCAGGAGGACGAACCAUUACAACGAGGAGCAGCACUAUGUCAACGGGAGCGGCAACGGAAACAUCACAUCAAUUUUUAGCGACGAAAAUCCAAAUGCGUGCACCGUAAUGUAGAGAGAGAGAGAGAGAGAGAGAGAGAGAGAGAGAGAGAAUGGUGCAAAAAGAGGGCUGCUGUUUAUCCCCAAAAGAAUCACGGCCAGAAAGUUGAUGGAGAAUAUAUUAGCAGGAAAAUAUACUUUUUUCUUAUAAUCAUGUGAUGUUAUGGGAAGAAAGAAUGAGAUUCCAAGCUUGUAAGUGAAGAAAGAACUGAUCUUAAAUCCCUCUCCAACAGGGCUAAUACAUACUGCCUGCAACCUGGAGUUUCCGAAACCGUGUUUCGCCAAAAUGUUUAUCUGAAAAACCAUUGUUUCCAGUUUCUCUCCUCGCAAAAUCUACAACACUGACAUUUUCCAAGAUCAAACUUCUGCCCUAGAGAGGAAGCUCCUGGUUUAAAUAUUCAUCGGAGAAGUCAUACUUCAGAUUUAUAUGUAUAAAAAUACUAAGAAAUUUCAGUUACGUGUAAAGACCCUUUCUUAUAACUAAGUAGUGAUAUUUCGGACUAGAUGCGCCCGAUCUGAAUGAACUGAACACCUAAUAUAUAUCAUUAGCAGCAAGAUAAAUAGUACGCGGUAACACAAUUUUUACAAAAUCGCUUGUGCUUUUUGCAAGUCGCAGAAAAUAUACAGUGAUACACUUGUGUUUAUGCUAUUGCAGAGAAAAUGUAGGAAGAAAAAGAAAACUCAUAAUUGUUAUCUAGGAGAAAUCUGAAUUUCUUCACCAUGGUAAUGAGUAGAGGGGUAAUCCGAGGAAAACAUAACUGUGGAUGUUAAAGCUUGGACAGGGAGAGACACCGAGCACUAAAACUUGCCUGCUUAACAGAUGCAAAGAUGUUGAACAGAUUGCACCGCAUCAAGCUUUUUUGUCCUAAAUCCAGUACAAGUGCACAGGAAAUGCAACUUAUGAACAGACAAAUGCAAAAUAAACCAUAUGCCAUGAAAUCCAAUAACAAAACCGUGUUACAUGUCAUCAUAUAUUCAAUAUCAACUAAAAUGUUUAAAAUCCUCAAGAAAAACUAAGCAUGGAUCGGCUGGACCAUAAUAGACACCCCAUUAAAAAGAAUAAAUCUACUCCAUAAUGUAGCAGAAACCACAGGAUGAGACUUCAUUGACCUGAUUGGUGCGGUGAUUAAACUUAAGCAAGCUAGUGUAAUAAUCAAUUAAACAGUAGACAAAUAGUGUAGGUACACUAAGUCAUCUCCAUACAAACACUUUUUUUCUACAAAGAUCAUCAUAACAAGUAAAACAGAAGACAAAAGAAUGAAUGUAUAACGGUAAAGUUUUGAUUACCUCCCAUCACAAAAUCCAUCUACUGAUCAUCAUCACUGCUUAUCUCAGAAUCAUUGCCUUCUUCCCCAUAAUGAAUUUCGUUUACAUCAUCCUCAUCUUCGCUUUCAUUCAUUUCAUGUGUGUGCGAUGAAAUUUGAGUUUUUGUGUGGGUUGCCUUGUCAAUCUAUUCAAACAGAACAAAAACAAUAAUCAAAGAUAAAAACCAAAAAACCAAAAAACUUGGUCAACAAAAUUACUGAAUUCAAGUUAGAAUGUGAGGUUUUAUAUACCUGUGCCAUCACAAGUUGCAAACGACCUGAUAAUUGUAAUAAAGGCUGAAUAGCUGCCCCUCUGGAUUUGGUAACCUGCAAGGAGAACAUCAAUUAAGCGCUUCAUCCAUAUUAUUACUUAAGAUCGAGUCUAGUUUGUAUUGAGAGUUUUGGAUUAUGUCCCUAUAAGGCAGAUAAUAAAUCCAAAAACUAUUACGCUCAGGUGGAAUUUGUGGAAAUUCAUUUUAUUAGAGGUAACACUUUAAGACUUGAGGGUAGUCUAACCAAAGAUUCAUCUAGGCAUUGGCUUUGCCCAUCAAGGGGUAGUGGGUAAUGGUAUAUCAUAUGCAUAAGCCCAAAGCAGGCACCUAGCAGCACUGUGGGGAAUAGUAAGAAACUGCAAGUCAAACACGAAAGUAAGUCAUAGGUUCCCAUAUUCCUCAACAGGGAACAUUUCAACGGAAGAUCUUCGUCAACCACAAACUUUAUAAUGAAAUUGUAAGUCGAGUCUUCCAUAUUGUUUUUCAGAAUUACUGGAUUACAACUUAUACACAGUGAAAGAGGACGGAAGGUUAAAAUUUGCUUUAACAUGCAACACGUCAUUUCAAGCGCUCAUUCUAACUAAAAUGAAAAGAAAAAAAAAACAUGAAAUAAGGGAGCAAAUAGUGACUGGUAAUAAACUAGUAUGAAUUGGUCACAAAAUUUUACCUUCAACAAGGAGCUAAGCAUCUGGGUUUCAGACUUUUGAGACAUGAUAUCAUGACUGUGAUUUACCAAUAUGCUGUAAAUCCAUGGAAGAACAUUAUUCCCGCUGCUAGACCUGUUAGAGAUAAUCAAAGAUUAAAAUUCAAGUCAUACCUAACUUAUACUGUAAUGCUUUCUAAAACAGAUAAAAAAAAAUAUUAAAGCAAACUAUCACUAUAUCGCAUAAAUUGUCAAUAACAGUCAUAAAAACCAAAUCGCGGACCAGGUUCAGAUACACAUUAGCGCACCAGAUAUUAUGGAAUUCAGAAUUCUUCCAUCCUUUAAAAAACACACACGGAAGAAAAUACAUAUAUUCAUGAUACAUGCAUAAGUUAACUUAAAGCAUUCACAAACUGUCUGUAUAAAACCAAACUAACAAUUCACUGUUCUAAAAAAUGCAUAAAGAAUAAAUCUACACCUUUAAAAUGACUUAUAACUCUACAUGCAUGCAUGCAUGUAAUGAAAACCCAAAGAAGACCAAAACAGAAAGAACAAACCUUGUUUGCCACAUGGCCACAAGGACUCCCAAUAAUUUGCAUGCGUCACCAGGUUCUAAUGACAGUACAGCUGCCCUCAUCUGGUAGAUCAUAUGUAUUUAGAUCAGGACAAAAUAAAGGGAGGGAGAAAUCAGGAAGUGCACAUAAUAAUAUAAAAGUACAACAUCAUGCCACUAUUCACACAUAAGUAAAUACUAAACAAACCAACCUUCUUCUGUGGCAUAUUAGUCUGAAGAUCAAUACUCUUAAAUGUUGCAGAAUUAAGUGUAGAGUUGAAUGUAUGGUCAUCUACUUUACUAAUUAUCCCUAAUGAUCUCAGUCUGUCCUCCAUGCAAAUUGCUGCAGUGUCAGCUUCAAGUUCUACCAUGCCAUCUGUGCAUACCAACAUAACAUAUGAAACGGGUAAAACCACCGUCAGGAUAUCUUCUGCACUACUUCCAAUAGGAAAGUAAAUAAACAUAUGAUGACCAAAGGUCAAAUAACAUUUAGUAAGCCAUGUUGACGCUCAAAAUAGAGUAUUGUAUGGUGGAAACAGAUAUUGCAGCCAUCACUACAUAAGCCUUGGUAGCCAUAUAAGAUUACUUUUAAUACAUACAGAAAAGUUUCAAAUGCAUUCCUGAGUGACUAUAACACCCACCUUUGCUCUUCACAAGGCCAGUGUGACCCCUGCUGUCAUCCAAAUCAGCCAUUUCUUCAUCUUGGUCAAAACUCAAUUUAUCGUGUCUUUUCUUUUUCCCAUGUGAAUCAAAAAUCCUUGGCAUUGGAUGCAAGGCUUCUUCUGCAUUUGCACGACCUAAUGCAAUAACUGUAGGAUCAUUGCACAAAUAGUCAGCUGACGGCCAAAAAUCAAGAAUCAGAAUAAAAUGUAGGGGUUAUCAGCAGCAUCAAAUCCUAGCAGGCAUGCGAAAUUUAAAAACGAACAAUAAUGCUAAUGCAAGAUGCGUCAUCUAAAGAAGAAAAAUAAAACUAUGGUUUUGAUUCCUCUCAGCAGGGUCCCUAAUGCAUCAGUCAGUAUCUCAUACUAUAUAUCCCAGGGAAUCCACAAGAAAUGAGACUAAAUGUGGUUAAGAGGGAAAACUUGUUGUGAGAAAGUCUUACCUCUAUUUUGUACAUUUUGUCGUUUCUUAGAUUUGACAAGGGACUGACUCAUUGGUAGAAGAACCCCAUCAUGGGAACUACUCAACUUUAUGUCUGUUCCAGAAUGCACCAAAAUUUUCUGGAAUGAUGGCUUCACUGGCGACCCAUAAGCGACAAAUACCUGACCAGAAGCAGCUUUCGCAAUUCCUUGAAAAACCGCAGCAAAUAUUGUGGGUAAUGCACCCUUGUAUGUUGUAGACAAAAUGUCUUCAGAAGAUAGUGAAAUUUUUGUAGGCUUCGCAUUCCGUAGUUCUUCAAUAUUCUGUCCAAACCAAAAGUAACAAAUGCCAACUUCUGAAAUCGCUAAUACAUAUAGACCUACAUCACUAACUUCCCCACUGUCUAUACACCUGCUAUCUACGAAGACAGCAGGGUGCUCCAUUUUAAGGACAGCACUUGCAGACUGCUUUUUUCCACCAGCUAUACUCCACACUGAAAUAUACCUUUCACCAACUGCAGAUGAGAGGAUAUACUUCCCAUCUUCAGUGAAGUUCAGACAGCGAACAGCACCCUAAUGAAUGGUUGAGAAAAUAUUAUCAAAUUAAAAAAGAACGGCUGAAGAAAACACUACAAUAUAAAACGAAGGUUAGCCCUCCUGAUAGCUGGAACUUUUUGGACACAAACGAUAAAAUAAAACAUUUUUCCAGGUAUCAAAUAUCUUAAGUUCAAAUUCAUACAAAUGCAACCCCUACAUAUGUUGAUUUACACAUGUUGGCCUCCCUAAUGGUGGAAAGAGACCUGCAUGUGAGGAGGAAGUGUCAAACUAUAGAAGGCAUUGAUUGGAGUCCAAUCAAGGAAGGGGAAGCAACAUGGCUCGAGAGGGCUUUUGAAGAAGAGGAAAUAAAAAAGGCAGUGUUUGAUUGUAGGGGUGAUAAAUCACCAAGUCCUGAUGGUCUUACAGUGGAAUUAUUUCAGCAACAUUGGGAGGGGGUAAAAUCAGAUAUUGUGAGGGUUUUCAAUGAUUUUCAUAGCAGCGGAUUCAUCAACGCAGUCACAAAUGAAACAUACAUCCAUCUCAUACCAAAGAAAGCAAUUUCAAUUAGUGUUGCUAAUUAUAGGCCUAUAAGCUUGACAACGAGUUUAUACAAGAUUUCAUCAGAAGUGUUGGCCUCUUGACUAAAGGUGGUAAUUAGUGGCACAGUCUCACAGGCUCAAGGAGCUUUUGUGAAAGGAAGGCAGAUUCUUGAUACAAUUUUAGUGGCCAACGAAGUGGUUGAGGAGACAAGGGUGAAAAAGAAGGAAGGUCUUGUGUUUAAAUUUGAUUUUGAAAAAGCUUAUGAUCACAUUGAUUGGGAUUUCUUAGUUAAUGUGUUGGAAAGAAAAUGGUUUGGUGAUAGGUGGAGAAAAUGGAUAUUGGGCUAGCUUGAAAUCUACCAACUUUUCCAUCAUAAUAAAUGGCCAACCAAGGGGUAAGUUUGGAGUGUCAAGAGGACUUAGACAAGGCAAUUCUCUUUCACCUUUAUUGUUUAAUAUUGCAGUAGACAUCCUUAGUAGAUUACUGGGAAGAGCCAUCGAGGGUGGACUGAUUGAGGGGUUGCGUGUUGGUUAUGAGGAUGUGGAAGUUUCUCACUUGCAAUUUGCCGAUGACACAAUCUUUUUUCUAUCUGGCAGUGAGCAAGGUUGGUCUAAUCUUUUAUCAGUAAUAGAUUGUUUUUGUUUUAUCUUUGGAUUGAAGUUGAAUAAGGGCAAAUGCUCUUUAAUGGGUAUUAAUGCGGAGGAAGAAAAAUUUGAGAGAUUGGCUGGUUUGUGGGGAUGCAAAGUGGGCACUUGGCCUGUUGAGUAUUUGGGUCUUCCUUUAGGAGGUAAUCCUAGACUAGAGCUAUCUCCUUCUGGAACCCAAUUGUGGAAAAAGUCGAAAAGAGAUUGCAGAGCUGGAAGUGUGCCUUUCUUUCAGGAGGGGGGAAGAUUAACUUUAAUUCAAUCGGUGUUAGGAAGUUUACCAAUUUAUUUUCUAUCUUUGUUCAAGAUUCCUAAAGGAGUAGUCACGAAUCUGGAAAGCUUAAUGCGGAAAUUCUUAUGGGCUGGUGUUGGUGAAGAUAAGAAAGAUCACCUCAUUAAUUGGGAGACAGUUUCAAAAACCUAAAGAGGAAGGGGGUUUAGGUAUUGGCAAUCUAUUGGUAAAAAACAAAGCUUUGUUAGCUAAAUGGUUAUGGCAUUUUCCAGUCGAAAGUGAUUCCAUCUGGCAUAAAGUGAUUAGAAGCAAGUAUGGUCUCAGUAACAAUGGUUGGGAUUCCAAGAUAGUUCGGUUUGGAACAAGUAGAAGUCCUUGGAAGGAUAUUUCCCAAGGGUAUAGUUCUUUUCUCUUUGUUCUUGGCAAAGGAGAUCGAAUUAGAUUUUGGGAAGACAUUUGGCUAGGCGAAAGAUCUUUACAAGUCUCAUUUCCGAGGUUGUUCAACUUAUCCAAGUUUCAUAACAAGAGUAUUUCUAGUGUGGCUAGUUUUGCUGAAUUUUCUUUGAAUUGGGACUUUGGGUUUCGAAGGAAUUUGUGUGAUGUGGAAUUAGACGAAUUGUCAUCUUUCCUGACAAGUUCGGAUCAGGUUCGCAUUCACCCCUUAAGGGUUGAUGCAAGAAAUUGGAUACUUGAUUCUUCAGGAAGUUUCUCUGUUAAAUCUUAUUGCGAUUAUCUUCUCAAAAGCUGUGCUGAUAGGGUUUUUCAGGCUUAUGGCCUGGUUUGGAAAUCUAAAGUUCCUAAUAAAGUGAAGGUCUUUACUUGGUUAGUGGCUCAUGGGAAAAUUAACACUUGUGACAUGCUCCAAAAAGGGCGACCUAGCUCAUGUCUACAACCUGAUUGGUGCAUUUUAUGCAAGAAAAGUUCAGAGUAUGUUGACCAUCUGUUUCUUCACAGCCCGGUGGCUUUAAAUCUCUAGUUGAAGUUGUUUAAGGAGUUUGGUAUCAGUUGGGUUUUACCGAGGCAUUGUUUUUCUCUUAUGGUAGAGGAACAAAAAUUAUCAAGAAAGGGGAAGAAAAUCAAGGUCUUAUGGGGAUGUAUAGUUUCAGCUAUUUUUUGAGUCAUUUGGAUGGAAAGAAACAAGCAGAUUUUUUAGAACAACGAAGGCAGUAGAAGGGAGGAUAUGUGGGAUAAUGUUCUGUUAUGGUCAUCUCUGUGGGCUUCAGUUACUACAGAAUUUAGAGAUUUGUCUUUUUCAGAAAUUCGGCGUAACUAGAAUGCAGCUAUUAGUUAGUUUUGUAUUGUUUUUAUAGUUGGUAAAUGUAUGGGUGAUGGUGCUAUUUAUCUUGUUUUGUUUGUGUCUUUGUGGACUUCUUGUCCGCUUUUGUAUUUUUAUUGUUUCAUUGCAAUAAAAAUUUGUUUCUUCAUCAAAAAAAAAAAAUAUUUCCUUACUAAUCACAUUCUAACAAUGGUAAACCAGCAAAGAUCAUUUGAAGAUAAGCAGACUAUUAACAUGUACACAUAUUUAGGCACCCAAAGAGGCAAAAAGUGUAAUAGAAAAAAGGAGAAUAUAAUAAAUUCAUAAACUCACGGGAUGGCCAGAAAACUUCUGUAUCUUUUUGUGGUUAGACAAAUUGAAAAUCUUCACUUGUGCAGCCGCAGUUGCUAAUAUUUUCCCAUCUGGUGCAGAGAAAAGGCCAUCCACAAUGUACCAUCAGAAAAAUACCAAAUGGCACAAUCUAACAAUAUGGUUUAAUUUGGACGCACAUGAAGCUGGUCCUUGACAAAUAUUGCAAAAUUUUACUUUUUUUUUUUUAGCAAAAAAUCUUACAUUUUUUUAGCAUUAACUACUAUAUACACUUGGAUGUUGGAACUACAAUUUGCUUCAACAUACAACAGACAGAAUAUGAGAGGUAUUACAUGCACUAUAAAUAUCUGACUGAAACCUAAUAACUAAGACCCUCUCCACCUAUAUAUAUAUAUAUUGAAUGGCCAACUCUACACCUCCACAGGAACCGCAACUAGAACUAAUGUCACCACCGGAAUUCCUUUUCUCUAUUUGUGACUUAUGACAAAUCAGUUCUUGGCCAGCAUUAGUUACCAACUUGCCAUGCAUAACCAUCAUUAGUUAUCGUUUCUCAACUUAAUUAGUUACCUAGACAACAUAAAGGCAUUGCUAAUAAUCCAGUCAAGACAGUUUUCAGUGAUGGUUAUCCAAUUACAUAAGCUACCCCGCUUUCACUUUCGCAUCUCUCUUAAACUACAAUCCUGGUAAAAUCUUGGUUUAUGGAAGAGGAUGCUCAUUGGCUUGGAAUAAAUAUUGGCAGUCGAUCAUGAAAUCUUGAAUCCAGAUAGUAUUAUUCGUAAAGUCAUUUUAACCAAGCAGUAUCAAACACGAACCUUAAGCAGAACAAUGCACUAAGCAAUAGUAACAUAAGAUGUAGGGUGAUGAACAUAUACAUAUGUAACAUACCUGACGAAACAGACAUAGAGGAGAUUGCCUUAGUGGAAGCUUUGAACUUCCCUGACAGGUUUCCCGUCAAAGAGUCAAUUUCACAAAUCAUCCCAUCAGCACCAGCAGUGUAAAUACACGACGCAUUUCUUGCAAAUGAUAUGGAGCUAACACCACUGCACCAACAGAACAUGCAACAGAAAGAUUAAUUAGGUGGAUUGAGAAGUCAAAAACAUACAUUAACACAAGGCAUUAUAUACAUUAACAUAAUAUGUAGACAAAUAAGAAAGUUUAAGCAGGGAGCUAACCCAGCAUGGCAAUCGUUAACUCUCCACUUCAAAUGACCAGCAGCCACAUCAAGCGCCAAAACAUUGCCGCCACCGGUUCCUAAAACCAAAAAUGAGGAACCAAGCUUCCUCUUCUUCUGCAACAAUGGACGGCAUUGCACAAAAAUAAAAUUAAUUUCACAAAAAAAGUUUACUACAGCUUACUUGUUAAUCUAAAACGAAAGCAAAUUCACAACCUUUCGUUCGGAAGAGAACCAUUUCAUGCAAGUGUAAUCAACUGAGAGGUGCCCUCUUUCUCGUUUAGCAUAUAUGCUUGUAUCUUCCGAUGCUACAAUGUCUGUAAACUCAGUCUGGACCUGCCCCUUCACAGUAUCCCAAAUCUAACGCAAACCCAGAAACUGAAAAUUAUGGUUUCAUAACAAAUAGAGAAAUAAAUCAACCAAAUUCUAUAAAAUUACAGAAGUACCUUGAUUCGACCGUCGCCGGAGCUAAUGGCCAACAAGUCCAGAGACGGACUGAACGCCGUCAGGAGGUCUCUGAUGUUUGACGAGGCCAUGCCGGAAGUUGGGGAUUGGUAGUAGAGGACAAGUAUGAGCUGCGUACAGGUGCAGAGCUUAAACCCUAAACCCUGAACCCCAGAACGUGGAGAAGAGAAGAGGGUAAGGGCAGCUGAAGAUCGUUUAGGGCAUCAUUCGCUGUUAAUGUGGGCUGUUUUCAAAUGUUGGGCUUUGUUUGUCUACCGGCCCAUUUUUAUGGUUUUUUUUUUUAUUUGGAUCCAUCGUUUACUUUUUCUUUUUUUUUUGGUUGAAAGAUUAGAUUUUAUUAAAUAAAGUCUAAUUGAUAAGUUUACAUCCUCAGCAUAAUAUUAAAAAGAAAAUCAGGACCAAUACAAUCCCAAAUAAAGGAAUAUCUUGCCGAUUUCAUGAAGGAUGCUACAGCGUGCGUUGCUUUGUUGGUUUCUCGAUGAGAAAACACAAACUCCACAUAUUCCAUACAACUUGCAAGGUGCCAUAUAUCAUGUAAAAUACCUUCCGAAUUCCAUUUUAUCUUUAAAAUACAGGGAAAAUAACUUUAUGGAAGGGUGGAAUUAUUGCAUAGUUCACAAUGUCGAUUCCCAAUGAUGAUAUGUUGAUCAGCUAUUGUGAGACGACAAUUGUGUGUAAAAAUUUCUCUAAAAUUACAGGACGUCCAAAAUUGAGAGGUGAUGUUUUUUCAAAUAGUUAGAAUAACACAACAUACUUGUAUUUUACUUUCCAAAAUACAUACUAGUGUGUGUUUGAACUUGUGAUUAUUAUGGCUUCGGACCAAAUCAUAUUGCUAAAACAUGUUACAUUCUUAGUAAACCAAUUUUGUUGGCAGGUACUAGGUAUUAUGGUUAUGACUUGUGACUUACGGCAGACAAACAUAACUUAAAACUUGUUUUUCUUUUCUUUUCUAAGAGUGAAAAGGGGUAUAGAUUUGGAGAAAAAAAAUAGAGAAAAAAAAGGGGUAUAGACAAAUUUUCGUGAAUUGACGUGUUACGAAUUCAUGUGACAUGAAAAAAUGUGAUAAUAAAGUUUAAACCUCCAGAUUUAGUGACUAAAAUUCUAAGGUUUUGGAAACAUUUUGAUCAUAAAACAUAUAAAUAAGAGAUCUUACUAGGAAGAAAAAUACAACUAGAUUUAACGCUUACGAAAUAAUGAGAUUUAAACUUUAAACCUUCUUGAACGUUGAAAAGAGAACUUUCGCUGUACUCAAUUAUAGUAUACUCCACACAACGUUAUUUUACCGUCCAUAUUUUUCUUGGAGAAGUAUAACAAUGGUCAACCCUUGGACAUCGUUUACCUCAUUCCGACAAUCGAUCAAAACCCUAAACCACGAGCCUCCUUAUGAAAUUCACUAACAAGGACUUAACACAAACCCCCAUAGAGCUAGAGUAUGGCAAAACAGUCCCCACGUGAAACUUAAAGGGCAUCCCCUUCUGUCUUAACUUUGGCGACAAAUACCCUUUUGUUUACUUCAACCCCACUUCCACUUUUUUCCUCAGUUACCAAUUUACCGUACCAUGACUCACCAGACAUGUUUCCCUAACAGCAAAUAUUAACAGUAACGGGAUUUUCUUGAGCGUAGGACACACCGGAACAUAGUAAAAACUCGCACACUAGGACACCACGCGCACCCGCAUUCUGGGUAAAAAAGUAAGAAAAUUUAAACAGAAAAAUACAAACAAAAAGCCAAGUUCUCUUACAUCAUCACUACCAAAAAUUUGCUUACACAUGAAUGAAGAAAUGAAGCUGUACAAAUAAUCCGCAGAAUAUAAAAGAACAUGCGAGACUGCAAAUCUACAGGAUGAAAAAGAAGAAGAUGAAACAAGUAAUCUGAACAUAUGUGUCUUAUUUAAAAGAAUGUGGUCUAAUUUUGAAUGGCAAUGGUAGAUUUUGGCUGAAAAGUAUAACCGGAGUUUGGCGGAAUUGGUAUCAUAAGACCACGGCUUUUCCAUUCCCGGUGAGCAGCGAAAUGUGGGCGGAGGAAGGAUUUGAAUACGAGGUAUUGAGGUCAGAACAUGGUUCUGGAAAGACAGACUCAGAAGAGCCGGAAACAUAUGAACAAUCCCAAGUGGUGGGCGAAGCUGAAUUUAAUGAUAAGGAGAUGUUGGAUAGACAGAAAGAAGUGAAUGGUGAUUCUUCGAUGCCAGUGAAGCAUCCGGCAAUGGUGAUGUUUGUGCCAACCACGUCUUGCAAUGUGAUGUGAUCCAAAACAGGGAGAGCGUUAGGAUCAUAUUUGUCAUCAGGAUGAGAACCAAACUGGCCAGAGGCACCAAAUGCCAUGUAGAUGUUUUCUACUUCGACAUCUGAUAUGAUGAUGUCUUUGAUGUAACCGCCUCUACCCUUUGUUGUUCGGAACUGAAUGCCGCUAAUGGAGUUGUGGAGGCGGACCUGCUCAACAUGUACGUUAGAAAUGCCACCGGACAUCUCACUACCAAGGGCAAGAGAAGAACCAGUAGCUGAUUGUAAGGUGACAUGCCGGAUGUGUACAUUUGUGGUAGGUCUUCCAUAGGCAAUACCGUACUCGUCCCAACCACUCUUGAGAGCAAUGGCAUCAUACCCCAUGCCAAUGAUGCAAUCUUCUAUGCACACAGUAUCAGAAGAAUCUGAAAGCCCAGAGAAAAUUAGUUUGAGUUUUGCCGAAAAGUUUCUUCACAUUCAGUUAUUUCCAACAACGGAAAAUUCAGGAUGCACAUAGAAAAUAUGUUUGUAAAACUGGGGAGGGAGCUCAAAUUUUAUCCAACAUUUCUACUUCCAUUUUUUCGGGAUAAGAACAAUACCUAAACAUAAAUUCACAGCAGGAAGUCAAGAGAUGUCACAAACCUGGGACUAUUCCGACAGUAUGAGGGGAGUCCGGAGGAGCAGAUACAGAUAUGUUGAGAACAUGUACAUUACUGCAUUGCAUUCAAUUAUAAAUAUAACAUUAAUAUGUUCUAUAACCGAAAAAUGAAUAAAAAUGAAAGAACAAGUGCGCAAUCAUCAGUGGCCUUAGCUCACAGACCUGCAAUAGACUGGAUGGAUGUUGUAAGCGGGAGCAUUUACAAAUGUGAGGUUCGAAACCACCACGUAUUUAGACAUAACGAAUUCCACAAGAUGCGGGCGGCUGUAGUUCAGAGAUUGGGAGCUAAACCAAUCCCACCAAACCGAUCCCUGGCCAUUGAUGGUUCCAUUAUCACCUAUGCAUUCAUGAGCAAAUGAUAAUUAGGCCGCGCGGAUACAGAACAUGUUAAAAGCAGCAAACGAAAUUCAGAGAGAUUCUUCAUACCUGUUAUGACCACAUCAUGUAACAUAUAACCAUUUAUCAAGCUACGAUAUCUCCUCCCGGGGAGUUCAAUCCCUCGACCGUACGAGGGUAAAGGCUCAACAAUUUCCCAAUGAGACGGAUCCUAAACAAGCAAUACCACAAACAUUUCAACAAAGCGAGAAACGAAAGCAUCUCCAACUGAUUUCGCAGAAUCAGAAGCGUUCACCAGCAUCUCAUUGCAGUGUAAAGCAUUACCUGAGAUCCAAGAAUGACAGCAUCCUUUUCCAAAAACAGUGUGAGGUGGCUGGUGAGGUUGAAGCUUCCGGUAAGCCACCUCCCCGGCGGCACAUAGAGCUGAGCACCGCCCUUAUCGGCGAAAGACUUGAGAUAGAAGAUGGCAUUCUGAAAGGCAAGAGUGUUCAAUGUCUUGCCAUCUCCGACAGCGCCAAAUUCUAAGAUGGACACACUGUGCGGCCUUGGCUCUAAUGUCAGUUUAUUAUCACACGGUUUCUCAUCGUCUUCUCCGUCAAUUUCGACGGCAUUACUCACGGCCAGCAGCAGCAGAAGCACCACCUGAAAACGGUGGAAAUUUAGAAAAAGCCACUGGUUCUCAGAACACUUUAGAAAAAAAUACAAAUUCAUUGGACAAACAAAUAAAUCGAAUUAAAUACAAGUACAAAUAACAAGAAUUUGAACAAUUCAGCAGCAAUCAUGGGAUUUUUCAAGAACAUUUGACAGGUUAUGAGUUGAUCAAUGCAAGCUAUAGAGUGAACUAUAAUUAAACUCAAAGGUAGAUUAAAAAAAAACAAAACAAACCCCAAUUGAAAAUCAAAUCCAAACAUCACACAGAUCAACUGUUUUUUUACCAGACAGAAAAAAAAAAUCAGAAAAAUCAAGACUUUGGAUUCGAGAUUGGCAAAGAAACGUAGAGAGAGUAAAAAACCCAGAAAAAAGAAACGUACUUACUAGCAUCUUCAUGAGUGAAAGCUCUCUCUCUGCAGCAGGAGUGGCCAAAAAGCAGUAGAAGUGCAGAGCAGAGAAGGACAAGGAAGAAGAAGAAGAAGAAGAAGCAGAGCAACCAAGGAGCAAGGGCUGCCUUAUUGCUCUAACCGUGUGGUGGUGUACAGGCAUUAAUUGUUGAAUGACACAAAGCAUAAAUACUUAUAUAUGCUAAGAAAAACUAGAAUUAUAAUUAUAAUUGGAAAAUGGAAAAUUAAUACAUGGUAAAAAAAGGAUCGCAGAAAAUGCAGACACUGCAGAAUGCCAGCUCUGGCAUGCACAUAGAAGCAAAACAAAUCAGAAUAAAAUAAUCUCAUUUAUUGCCACUAAUUGAUAUUUACCGUCCUUAAUCAAUUAUGAUUAGUAAUUGAUUAGUAACGUCUCUCGCCGACAGAAUGUUUGAAACGGCCCUCCAUUUGCGACACUGUAAUUUUCACAGGAAAAAAAAAAACACUAUAAAUUUCCGGCUAUCAUUUUAGUUAGAGUAGUCAUAUUCACAUUCCUACUUUUAUUCUUGAUGCAUUCUCUUAAUUUUUGGUAGUCGGAUCAAAUAAAUUGAAGAAUAUCAAUAUUAAAAAAUAAACAAGAAUGUGUUAUCGAACUAAAAAUAAAUGUAUGGGUAAUAUUAUCCUUUAAUUAUAGUGUUUCGUAUUCAAACUCUUUUUCAGUUUCUAAUAUAUAUUAGUGUAAAUUCUUGAUGUAAUAAUAAUAAAAAAAAGCAUUCUUUCCAUAACAAUCUAUACGCUAAAGGGCGAAAAAAAUUGGACUGAAACACACAAAGUAUUAUGCUUUAAUAAUUUAGUAUCGAAAUCACCAUUCACAAAAAAUAAAUCCAAAACAUCUGAAUUCGUCUAAAAGGAAAUUAAGCAUUUGACUUAAAAGUACAGAAUUGCAAAAUUGAAUUAAUAGUGGCAAAAAAAUUACCAGUUUCAAUUGUAAAAUGUUAUAGAAUCAUAUUUUUAGACUAUAUUUUGUGACCCGUGGUAAUUUAUAGUUGCAUAACCGUCAAUAUAAUGUAGCUUAUAUAUUAAAUUUAAGUAAAUAAUUGCUAUACAAUUUAAGUAAAUAAUCGCUUGAGCAUAUCUAGUUUUGUAAUAGCGUCCUUAUUUGCUUACAUUUGUUGAAAAGUGAUUAGUUAAAAGUCCAAAAAUAAAAUCGGAGGUGAUAAAAUUACCGGAGUUGCACGAAAAUAUUGCGCCAGGUAAGGGAAUUUGGGAUGGUGGUAGGGGAGGAAUGGUGAGACGGCGGGUGAGAGGGAAUAAAAAUAAGUGAAGGAGUGCAUGGGGCAUUGAGACCGCAUGUGGGUUGACAGAGCAGAGAGGGGAGAGGGGGAGGGGGAGUGGGGCCCGCAAGUCAAUCAUGGCAAAGGUGCUAGCCUGGCCUCAAUUACUCGACUGGACACUCGACAGAACAUAACACAAACACAAGGGGCCCAACUUCUGUGUGACACGUCAUUUUAUUAAUUUAAUUUUUUAAUACGGUGUGCAUUUUGUUUUGUUUUGUUUUCAGAAAAUAUAUUCUGCCACUUAAUACUACGAUUUAGUGGUAUUCAUCUUUACUUAUAAAUGAGAUUUUGUAUUCGAUUUUUGCCAAAUGCGAGUUUGAACCACAUCAUUGCUAGCUUAUUAUGAGGCAAAACUCAUCUCCUUCUUUUUAGUAUAAAUGAUAUCGUCUGUUAAAAAAAAAAAAUUCUGAAAAAGUAUGAAAUUAUAUUAUUAUGUAGAAGGUGAUGUGAAAAUUACUGAUUCGUUGGUAGCUUGGUCUUCAAUCUCCAGGUGGCUUAGAAAUGGGCAAAAUUUUCAAAUGUUCACACGGAUGAAGUUGUGGGUGUUCAUACUUUAUAAUCGACGUUAAUUGUUAACUUACCGGCUAAUAUUGUCAUCAAGGAAAUAAACGUUGAAAUUCUAUGAGUCUUUUUUUUUAACGAUAUUUUUUAGUAUAUUUAAAAAAAAUUAGCUUAUUUUUGUUUUUUUUCAUAAUAUAAAUGAUCAAUUCUUUUAUUUAUACAACAAGAUCAUGGGACAGAAUUUUACCUACACAAUGAACUAUUCAUAUUUUGGUAUAGAACUCAUUGUUUGUGAGAUUUAUUUUUAUGUUCUCUUAUUUACAAAUGAAGAAAAAUACUAGUAGACUGUAAAUCUUGUAAAUAUAACUAAUUGUGUUCACGACCUACUUAUGUCUAACUUAGUUGUAUAAUGUUGUACAUCCUCUUGCUUGUAUAAGCUUGUUUAACUUGUGUCUAGCUAGCACGAUCCAAAGACAUGUUUGCACCAGAUGUAUAGCUAAAAACCUAUUUUUUUGUGGAAAAUCGUAUGAAGUUAAAUUUUUUUUUUUAUAUUGAAUGGUUUAACUACUAACUGUACUGAUUUUUAUUUAUUUUUAUUUUUAUGAUAAUACUCAAAACCAAUCGAGCUAUGCAAGUAGUCAAGUUGUAACGGUAUUGAUGUGAUUAAUAGUGCGACAUUGACCCUUGAAACUUUCAACUUUUCUACAAUUUAUAAAAGAUGGUUGGUUAAAUGGGAUUUGGAUCCUCUCCUGAGUAGAGGGUUCGAAUCCUCCUGACCAGAUAACAAGGGUUGUUAGAUUUUGAUUAAACGGCUACAAACAAGGAGCCCUCUAAAAGUUAUAAUAAUUGUAGAUGUUAGAUCAAAAUCCAACGGUCCAUGUUAUUUGAUCAGAAUGAUUCGGAUCCCCUGCUCAGGAGAGGAUACAAAUCCGAUCAAAUCACUCAAAUGUGUCCAAUAAGGUACAAAAUGUCAGAGAAGUUUCAUUGGGAAGCAUCUAAUUAAUGUAAAAGUUUGGUUAUGAUGAUCAUACUUUUUCUCUUGUGCUCGGAGGAUGCUCUUCCUUUGGCAAAGCAGUAGCAUUUGUAAGACAUAUUGUAAUAAAGAUCAAAUUACUCCCAAGGGAGUAAGGUGGCCCUACUAUUGUUCCUUCUUUAGGGUUUCUCUAUAUGACCCAGAGACCCCUUUUUAGCAUUGCCUCGUUUGAUCGUCCAACUUUUUGACCUACAAGUUUUGAUCUAUUUUUUCCCAAAUCUCCCAUCUCCAAACUGAUAAAUAAUUAAUUAAUAAUCUAAAAAUCACGUGCACCAAAGAUUUCCAACUUUCAGAUUUCUCAGUCUCUGAGUUUUAUAUAAAGAAGAAGAAGAAGAACAUGCACCAAUCUUGUAGCUUUACUAGAUCGGCAAAAGGCAUCCAUAUAUUCUUCUUCGUCGCCGUAAAGUUGAGCUUAGGAAAUGUCGAUGUGGGGGCAGUGAGAAUAUCUUCAUGCAUGCAGCCGCAGUUUUUUUAGGUUAAAGAUUUGAAAUGUAUAUAUUGAACAAAGGUAAAGGAAGACUUUGAAAUAUAGUUCACAGUUGGCAACACAAAAAGGUUGUCGAUGUUUAGCUUCUUUCUUCUAUUCUAAUAAAAUAGAAGAUCAAAUUUAACUCGAAUCAUUUCGAGAUAAGUGUUUUACCAUUAAAACUAUCAAUUUUCAUGAUAUAGAUCAGCAUUUUAUGUCGUACCAACCUCUUUGCAUGCGACAUAUGCAUGCUAUUGUGUAGUACUAAAAUAAGUUGACUGAUAUAUAGCUAAUUCAUUCAUACAAAGUUUGUGCAUUAAAACACGUUCUACAUCAUAUAAAUUUUUAUUAAAAUUAUUAAAAAAUUUAUUACGAUUAUCAGUUAAAUUCUAAUUUGAAUUAAAGUACAAAUUUAAUUGGUCACACAUUAUUUGAUAGUAUCUAGAAUUAUUCUUUUACUAUUGGGACCUUUUAGUAUAUAAUUAAGCUGUUUUCUCUUUAGCACUCUUUUUAACUAAAGGUAUUUGUUGGUAUUUUGAAACCCUCACCGAACUCCAUGCUCCAUCUAUAGGUCUAGAUCGACACUAAAAAAUUACUAGAAUAAUUAACUAGCAAGCACCAAAAGAAUGUACAAAUAUAAAAAGGUAGUGUUACGAUCAGUAAGAUGAUUUUGACGUAUGCAAUAAAUUAUAUAAUGCAUCAACAAUUAAUAAUUAGUUACGUGUUUAUAAACGACUGAUGCUGAUACAACUUAACUUAUGAUCGUGAAAUGCAAAAUCUAAACUAUUUGUGAUGAUCAAGCUACGGCAUCUCACAUCAUAUAAUACUUGGGGUCUAAGUUUUGUACAUAUAUGAUACAACUGCAACGACUAAGGAACAAACAGUACUCAAAUCGAAUGGGAACUCAGAUAAAUUCCCAUGCAUGACAAAUAACAAACGUCCACGUUCCUCUGCUUAGGAGCCAAAUAUAACCCUAGCUAGGCCUGCAAACUAGAUUUUUGUCCCAGUCAACGUUCAUUAUAUUUGGUCAAGACCCACAUGGCAUGAUGGGAACACAUCGUUGGCCACUAUCCAAUCAGGACCCUUCAAACAGUGCGCCCUAUGGUGAAGGUUAGCCGACCUAAUUUAAGUCUAAAGACGAUAGAUUUUUCAGUGUGAUCGAUACAUGAGGUAGUACACUAUAUGUGAUUAUAAAAAUGGUGAAAUAUGUGUGUUAAAAAAUUAAUAACCUAAAAAGUAAAAUUUUACACUACUUACAUAAAAAUAAAUAGUAUACUAUCUGUGUUCCCAUCAUAAUUAAAAAUAUCUCUUCCACAACGUUGGCUGUCUUUUGUUUUUUCUUCAAUUAUAAUGUAAUUGUAAACUGGAACUGGUUGCUGUCUCUUCCUAUUAAAUUGACAUGAAACUACAAGUCAAGAUCUACCAAGUUAAACCAUUUAUAGAUCGUUUUAUAAGGCACAUGCCACAUAGUGACCUAAUAGUACAAAUAAAAAAGUUGGAUUAAAUUCCAACGACCUGGAUAAAUUUAUUUUUUGUCAUUGUUUGAUGACUAAAUUCUCUUAAAUGCAACGAGUUCUAUACAAGGAAAGUACAAAAAUAUUUGUAGUUCAGGUGGUUAAAAACUUUUGCUCCUGCACAUGAGGUAACGAGUUCGAACCCCUCAUUCAAAAUAUACAAGUUUCCAGUUUUUAUGUAUUGGACAUUCAUAAGUAGGCAAAAGCAAAGGGGAAAGUAAUAACGCAGCAGAGGGAAAAGGAACUACUACAUUUGAAGAAAUAAUUAAACACAUUUAUCUGAUAAACAUAUAAAUAUACAUGAAUUUUUGCUAUAACCUUAGAUCUCUCUGUGCUUCACACAUUCGGUGAGGCACAUAACAUACCCCCUACUAGUCUGCUGUGGUAGUACAUGAAUACAAUACAAUUACAACACAAAUCAACUCUAGGAAAUGGAUAUAGAAAUCGCUAGAUGGAGCCGCUACGAUGCUGGAUUGUUACUCGAAGAUGUUGCUGUCCACCCGUUCUGUGUUCCGUUAUCAACGGGCACCAAAACUCCCCACUUCCCCUCAGAUUCCGAGGGCUCUAUAACUUUAACAGAUCCAUCUGUCAGUCCAACAGCAAAUUGGUACGGCUCCUGCAAAUGUGCUGUAAGAGCCAGCGGGUACACUGAUGGGCUGUCGCAGGGCAGGAAGAAACUAGUUUAGAUAAUCAAUAACUAUACGACGGAGGGUUCUAGUGAUAACAGAAGGCAAAUUUUUCUUCUUUUUCGUUUUUCAACUUAAUCAAGAGGUGAUGCACAACUUUUUCUUCCUUCUACUUCAACUAAUUCAUUUUUCAAACUAACACGGGGGAAAAUCUAGGUAAAUCAGACAUAAUGCUUGAUAGAAUGAGAUUGCCGCCUCAUAAACCGGUCAUAGUUCAAUGCGCUAAAUACCUGUUUGAUGAUGCUUGUGGUAAGUACACCGACAUGGCAAUACGGCAUCUUAGUUUCAGACUAUCAGCAUCAAAUACUCCAAUGUUACCAUCAGUAAAUGCCGCAUAAACUAGUUGACUACUUGAAGAAUAUGCUGCACAAGAAAUGGGCGCAGGCAGAAGAUCUUGUGGCGUCCACUGCAAUAUUUAAAAAAAAAAAAAAUGAGGGGAUCUGUUGUGCACACAAACAAAAGUAACUCAUCCAAGAAGUUCUAUUACCUGCCGAAUGCACUCUGAUUUGGCCGCAUCAUAUAAUGCUAGUUGAGUCUCAUGGUAUACCAACAAUCGGACUUGAUCAGAAUAGAAUUGCACAUGCGUGUCACCGACAGGCGCCUUUCCAGCGGGCAACUGAAGUGGAACCGAUUUCCUCUUAUCCCAUGUAUCCAUGUUCCAAAAGCAUAGCUGCAAAAUCAUUUUCUUUACAUAUCCAAUCACUGGUAAACAUUAACUUGCAUAUCAAAAGGAGAAGAAGAGCCGUCACAUACUUGAGCAUCAGCACCUGAUGAAACCAUGAUUUUAAGGUUGACAGAAAAUGCUAAACCAGUAAUGUGCUUCUGGUGGCCUUUCAGUUUUGCUUUGACCUAACAGAAGAGCAGCACGAUUCAUAUUGGCAAUCAAGAAGAGCAAUUCAAUCACAUGUUAAUAGAUAUAGAGAUUCUUAAAUCAAUCACCUCAUCAAGUCGAACAUUGUAAAUGUGGAUAGUUGAAUCUUCCAUUCCUAUUGCUAUGAUAUUAUUAUCCAGAGGAUGAAAUGACAAGUAGGUUGACACUGGUGGAGGUGGCAUGAAAGUUGUCAUUACCUGCAAACCAAAAAAUUUUCAUCCCAAACACGCUUGUCAUUCCAAUGCAUGCAGAAUCAUGCAAACCGUAGUAGUUGAUAGAAACUGUUGUAGGAUAGAUCUGCACUAUAUACGCAUUAAAUUACCUUAAAAGUCAUCAUAUUGAACAGAGACACUUUUCCUCCACAGGCUGACAUCACAUAAGAGUCAUUUUUUGAGAGUGCAAUGCAUGGAACCGCUUCUUCAACAUUUUCUGAGACAUCAUUAGUCAUUAAAAGACCACUGUUGGGUUGCCAAUGUUGGGGAACAACACUUGCUGUGGCCUUUUAACCCACAAAAAGUCAGAUACAUUUUCAUGAAAGUUACUAACACAUUAUAUGUUCAUGUAACUGAAAUACAUGCAGCUGAACGAAAAGAGAAAUAUGUAUUUCAUGUGGGUGUUGACUAUCACCUUCCCACUUGGAUUUUGCUCAUUGCGGCUCCACUUCCAUAGCUUCUGCACCCCAUUUGAACCGAGAGCCAGAAUGCCAGAACCAGAAUUUGUGUACAGAAGUCGAGCAACCUUUUAAAAAAGUAAGACCAUCUUAAUAAAAUUAUCCAUGAACAACAAAAGAGGGAACUAGAAAACAAAACCAACCUUGUUAGCAGGAUCUUUACUUUCUGGCAUGGUAGCCACUCGACACUGAACGGGAUCUACAAUUUCCGCCAGUUCCCAACGUUUAAUCUUGUCAGAUACAUCAUCUAAGCUUCUCUUUUCCAGGCUUCUUGCCAUAUCGGCUCUUGCCAUAGAAUCGGCUCUUGCCAUAGAAUCAGCUCUUGCCAUAGAAUCAGCUCCAUUCUACAACAAAUAUGCAGCAGAAUGAGAUGCUAGAGCAGAAAUAAGGGUAAGGAUAAAUCACAAUACACCUAGUUAAUAUAUUAAACUGAGUAUGGUGACAAUGGCUACCACAUUUCAGUACUAACAAGCUACAAUCGUACUUUCGCUUUUCAAGCUGAUGCUAACCAGUCAAUCAUAAUUAAGUUAUAAAAAAAAAUAUGACAAAACAAUUUGAAUGUGAAUUAUAUAACUUAAAUGACGUACAAGAAUAUGAGUCGGUCUGGCAGGAGAGCUUGUAUCCAAACGGUCCACUUUAUUAAUGGUUGGGUUGACAUUCGGAACCAUGGAAGAACCAGAUACCUGAUCAAGGAACAUGAACACAUCAAAUUCUCAACAAAGAGCAAAUCAAAUUUUCUAGAAACAGAAAUGUACAAAUGAAUGAAAGGGGUAGCAUAUCAUGGAAACAGAUAUAAGAACCUUCAUCUCAAUAGGUCCUCUGGAUGCUUCAUAAGAUCGAGUUUCAAUUGCUCUUAAGGAUCUUAGACCCUCAGCAUUAGCAAGAAUUUUGAUUCCGUUGUCAGACGUGGUAGCAGCAAGCAAAUUUCCUUCCUUAUUGAAUCUCAAGCGGGGAAGAGUCUGAAGCAAUCCCAACGUUCAUAAUCAAUGAAUGAAAUCUCAAAACAAUAGAUUCUUUUAUUCAACUUAUAAUGUUUGGAAAUAGAUGUCUGAAUAAUGAGGACUUUUACCAGAAGUCCACCCUCAGCUUCUGUACCAGUAAGAACAUUUGUAUUAUCCAUAUCCCAAAACUUUAUCUGAUUAUCUUCACCAACAGCCAAAAAGUGAUUUUUUGUUGUAUCAAAUUGCACUACGCCAGAAGAUUUUUUUCUGAAUCCAGUAUAUGUCCUCUUUAUUGCCCCUUCACUUUCAUUCCAUUCAACGAGGAAAGAAUCACCAUCUUUACUAGUCCCACAAGAGAAUAAUCUGAGAUUUAAGAUGAUCAGUUAUAACUCAUACAUCAUCACACAAACAGAAAAUAUGCGACAAAGGUAAUUUAUAGCAUAAACCAUGUGGACAUUCUUGUGUACCUAUUUCCAUCAUCACUGUAGAGCAUUGUGGUGCACCACUGCCCAGGAGCAUCAUAGUCAACCCUGGAGCCCACAUUGUCAUACAGCCAAGCUUUUAUUUUCCCAUCAACAGCAGUUGAAAAUAUGAACUGCAAAGAUAAAAAGGUAAAAUUACGACAACGGCAAGAGCAGCUUGAUGUGACACCAUUGUCUCACUCAUUUUCGGUUAGUUAUUAUAAUAACAGUAAUCAUCAUAAUUAGUUAUCUUAUAAGAACUUUUGUGAAAUUCCACUGGCAUAACAGGAUAUAUAAGAAUUUAAAUGUACAAGUAACAAGGAAUUUCAAGGUAAACAAACCAAUAUCAUACUAAAUGAGAAAGUCUACCACUUCGAGCUAUUUAGUUCUUUGAACAUUCACAAUGAACUCUAGCGCCACUGAACAGGCCAUGUAACGUAUAAAUAAAAUUAGAGUACCCACAUUCAACCGGUCAUUUGAGAACUAGUAACAUUAAGUGGUCAUAACACAUAUGCAGACUUCAGCAAAUGGACAUGAUUUACCUGAAUAUUCUCCUUCUGGUGGGGGCAAAUUGAGUAAACAGGCGCUUCAUGACCUUCAAAGCUGAAUAGAUUUCUUCCAGCCAAAUCCCAAACCUAUUAUGUUUUUAAACAAAUAAUCCAUUUAAUAUUGAUCAAGUUAAACAAAAACAGAAAGCUGCAAUAUUUAGUCCCCCACCUUUAUCAGCUUAUCCUCCCCACAAGUUAUAAGACAUAAUUGCUUGUUUGGAUGAGAAAAGGCUAAGUCAUUCACACUGCCACUGUGAGCAUCAAUCUAUAAGAAAACCAAAUCCAAACAUCAGUGUAAAGCGGCAAAAAAUAUCUUCUUGAUCUUGAAUUAGCACAAAGUGAAUCAAAACAUACCUCCAAAUGUUGCCGUAGAUCAGUUGGUCCUUGAUAAGCGUACAAAUGAACCAAGUGUUUGGUAAAUGCAACACCUGUACACAAAAAAAUACCCAUAAUUAUAUCCAACUAUGCAUUCAAAUUAUGCUAGAGAUGCACUGCAGCUCCACAUACCAAUAAAGCUUCCAUCUUGAUUCCAUGAUACACGGCUUACAGACAUUGACGAAUCUUUGACCAUAGCAAGCUAUAAGAGGCUAAAAGUCAACUUACAGAAGUGGUAAAUGCUCAAUAAUCGUAAGUAGUGCAGGCCUCUGAUAUUAACCUUUAACUAAAUAUCAUGAAGACACCAUUACUUUGAAAACAGAUGGAACCUACUAAGCACACAUAAAUAUGAUGUUUUUAACGACGGGAUAAAGAAUACUGAUAGGAUGUUUAAGGUUCCGACUGAGUAAUGAUACACACCUGAAUUGCAUUAGAACUAGGAGUCAUAUUCCAUAUUUUGAAUGGCUUUGUCACUAGCUUCUCUCGUAUCCCAACUUCCCACAGUGUAAUUUCACCAUUACUACAUCCAACUAUUUAUAAACAUAAAUCUUAAGUCAGCUUUGAGAUUAAAGCUGCUUAAAAGCAAAACUUUAACAACAACCCUUUCAAUCUAAGACGGGUGAAGCACAAUUUAUGUUACGCGGUAAAUAAAACCUACCAGCAAGUAAUGUGUGAUGAGAAGGGUGGAAAUCCAUGCUUAUCACAUUGAAUCCCUGACGAAGAGUGCACGCUACGGUCCUCGGUAGGUCAUCUAGUGACCAGGAAGCAUGCUGGGUAGGGGGAGGAUAACUGACCUGAAUAAAUGAAGUAGGAAGCUCUAUAAUAGUUCGUAAAAGUGGAACAUCCAAAUGCAGAACCAUAAAAUGCAAGAAAGAGGUAUCCAUAACUUAUGCAGAAACUUUAAUCUGUCCAAUAAUACCUCAUCAACAGAUUGUGCAGGCCGCAGGCGUUUCAUUAGUUGCUCAUGAUCUGAGCCUUGAUACUCGCUCAUUCCAAGAGCAUUUGAGGGUGUUCUUGGAUGCUUUAAACCAGAACCUGUUCAGGCAGCAAAAUUGUUGUCAAUAACCAAAUAGCUUGAAAAAUAUGAAAUAUAUUCUGUUAUCUUAUACUUUAAGCAAGCAAUACAAUGAUAAUCAAGCUCAACAGUAAAUACUUCUGGUUGGACAUUAGAUAACUGAAUUAAUUCUUCUUACUAGUAUGAUAAUGCUCAAUAAACAGGCAAAUAAUGCUCAAUAAACAGGUGGAAUGACCCAGCACAAAGAACUAAUCUAGAAGAGUUUCUUUAACCUCCCUACUCGUUACUGACACAAAUAAGUAGUGACUAUAUUUUCUUCUUAAUUCUACAUUGUCACCUUAUUAAAAUUGUGGUUUGAAACAAAGAAAACGGAAAGUGAAUAAACAAUAACCUGGAUCUAAAAAAUCAACUUUUGUUAAGCUGUUGUAGCCUAAAUUUCAGAAGAAUGAAAACCACACCUUGACUGGGUUGAACAGGGAAGGGUGAAGCGGCAACAACAGCUGAUUGCACAGACAUGGAAGGAUUAGCAUUCGACAUCCAUCCUGCUAAAUUUGCAUUAGCUGCAGCUGCAGCAGCCGGCGGAAAAGGCUGUACAUGACAGUAACAAACAAAACAUAUUGAUAUAUCAAAACAUCAGCUUAGUUGAAAUUCGAUAAAAUUAUGACAAAGGAUAUGAUCAUACUCCACCAUGUGCUCCUAGAGGAGCAUAAGUUGGCUUUGCAAGAGCUGCAACUGGAAGAGUAACUGGCGUGGAUGCACGAGCCCCAUUUGUUGGAGAACACGAGUGGUCCAUGAAUAAGGUCUUAAUAUCAGGAUUUGGCCUUGGGUUCUUGCACAGCUGGUGCUGCCAAUUUAGACUGCACAAACCAUAAUUUAAUGCUUCACAACUUUUACAAACCGUAAUCAAUGAUAUUGACUGCAAGGUCUUCAUACAAAAUUCAAAAGUGGAAAGGCAUUACAAACACCAGCAUACCUUUGAUUAAUUAGAGUUCGCAAGCGUGAAGCCUUCAAAGUGGGUAAAGCAAGCUUAUCUCGGAAAAGCGGAUUUGCUUCUAUCAACUUUUUAAGCUCUACUAGCAUUAUGCUUCUAGCCGACUUAGUAUCACCAUAUUUCGAUAACUGCUCAUUUUCUCUGCAUCACAUUAAAAUUAAAGUUUUAUUCCCCACUUUUCAUGUUCCCAAAUUCCAUGAGUUUUAACCCACAGAUAAACUCAUUAACAUGUUAUGGAACCCAACUUACAUAUACAUUAAAAAUGAACUAAAACAUAAUUCACCUAAAGUUUUCGAGGGUCAAAAGAUGCGUAAUUUCCUUGUACAAAUCUUCGUUAAACGUCGAGAACACUUUCAAAUCCUUCACCAGUAUCUCAACAGCCUUAGCUCUGUCAUUCCUGACCUCAUUUCCAAAUUGCAACAAAGACCCCAUCACCAAAACAGAAUCAAUUAACACAUUCCAUAAAACAAUCAUACAUGUAGACACACACAGAGAAACAGAAGUGAUCAAAAUCGGAACCUGUCGAGCGCCUCGAGAUACUUCUGCUUUCGAACCUCGAAGAAAAUCUUCAUCGAGUAGCGAUUCUCAUCGACCUUGGUGAACCCAGAGAGGUACUUCUCGACCUCGUCCCACUCUCCAGCCAGCGCCUUCUCCUCAAAGUACUUCAUGUUGAAGAAGUACCCCGAUUCCUGCUCCAGCCUGAGCUCCAUCGAAUUCAAAUUUCAAACCAUAAACCCCUAAAAUUAAAUAAAAAAACCCCCAAAAAUUGAAAACUAAAAAACAAAUGCCCACCUGUGUACGGACUCCUUGAACUUCUCUUCCUCCAGAAAUUGGAGGAUCAGGAACACCAGUUCUCUGCUCAAGGACGACAUCUUCGCUUCUCUUCCCCUCGAUUUCAAAUCUCAAGUUCGAAUCUUUCCGUCCGCGGCGGAGGAGAAAUGGGAGGAAACGGCAGCGUUUUGGGUGGAGGAUGGGGGCGGGGUGGUUUCAAUCGGUUUUUUAGGGCGAGUGGAAAGGGUCUAGGGUUUGAGGUCCCAUGAUUUUGCUUUCAACGACAACAGUGCAGAAGCACCAACGAGAGAAAGGGAGACAAAGAUAAAGAGGAGAGAGAAAAAGACUUUAUUCGGCACCCACAUAUCAGCCAUUACUGAUAAGUUAUCACUGAAAGUGCGCGAUUGAUAAGCCGAUGGGUGAUAAGUACAUUGGCUUAUCUACUGAGUGGGGAACUGAGGGACAACUGCGAGGCGCAGUGGGUCAUCAUUCGUAAAAGGAGGAGAUUCCAUUUGGUUAGGGCUGUUAUCCGGUACGACGCCUUCAAUCGUGAGGCCAAGUCUAGGUCGCCGAAGUUUUACGUGUUGCGUACACGUGUCGGUAUUUUAUGGGUUGGGGAGAUGUGGGAGGUGGGAGGUGGGAGGUGGGAGGUGGGAGAUGGGAGUAGGUGAUUGGAGUCCUGAAAAGGGAGUGUGGGUUCCGGAAUCGAAGCUGAAAAUAAAAUGGGAUUGAAUAUACGGGGUAACGUCCAUCGCAUCCCAUUUCAUUGUCGGGUGUCUGCGUGCAAGCCCUCCACUUGGAUCUCUUGCCAGCAACACAUGAUUGCAUCUUCUUAAUAUUUUUUUCUUUUUCUUUUUCCGGAGCAUGAGGCAUCACAUCCCACCCCGAAAAGGACAAAUCCCCAGCUAAGCCCGAAAAGUUAAAUGCAUUUUAGCUCAUUUUUAAAAAAAAUUUAUUAUGAUCGGAACACCGAAUAGUACAUAAUUUAAAUAAUAAAAUAUAUGUGUUAAAAAAUUAAUAACACACAUAUAAAUGGUGAAAUAUGUAUGUUAAAAGAUUAAUAGCUUAAAAGAAUAAAAAAUUUUAUCAUUUAUAUAAAAACAUGUGGUGUACGCUCGUUUUCCGUUCAAGAUAAAAAAUUUCUCCAACUUUUUUUUUGGUACAAAAUUUCUUCAAUUUUGGCUAUGGUCAAAUAACACUCUUUUUAAAGUUUUCAAACAGAAAAUUAGCCGUAUUUAAGAGAGAAAAAAAAUUUCCAGGUUCCCCAAAUACCAACUCACUAUUGAUCUACACCAAUGGGCAUUACACACAUGGACUCUCUCGUUUCGAAUGAUAGCUGGAUUAAUUUGAUUUCUUUAACUCCUUAUUCUAAGAGAGAAUUUUAGUGUGCCCAGAACACUGUUACACAUAUCGCAUGUCGUUAUACAAAGUAGAUAGGUACUCAAAAAAAAAAAAAAAAAAACUUCUCUUAUUUUAGCCCAAACAUUUUUUUGUAAGAAAAAAAUAAGUUCAGGUAAUAAUUAAUUUUUCUAAAUUCACAACUUUGCGAGCCCGGAAACCCACGUACUGUUCAAGCAAACCCGUCUCGGCCCAUACCCGAAUCUGGAAAAGUAACCAUAUUUUAGACCCUAUAUAUAAUUAUAGCCACUAUUUUAGUUUUAUAAUAAUUCUAACCAAAAUUUGAUGUAAAAGUAUUAAUGUACCCUUAAUAUUAGGGUUUCUCACAACAAAAACUGCUUUAAACUCUCUCGCAACCUUUUGGUUUCUCACCUUAAACCAGAUGAGCACCAUUUGCCAAUUUUUCAUAAUAUACCCUUAAUUUAACAGCAAUAUGUGAAUAUCUAUAUCUACUCUAUAUCUAUAUACAUACAUACAUACAUACAUACACACAUACACACAUAUAUAUAUAUAUAUAUAGAUUAAAAAAGAGUGUAGGAAAUGGAGGGGUUCGAGAGUAAGGGGCACCGAGUAGUAUUCAAGAGGCUACGUCUUUUAUGCUUUAAGAUCUCAAUUAAUUGUUGUUUUUUCAUGGUUAAGAGUAAUGGGGAUUUUUUUUGUCAUUAAGGGUAUAUUAGUACUUUUACAUCAAGUUUUGGUUAUAAUUAUAAAAAAACUAAAAUGGUGGCUAUAAUUCUAUAUGGGGUCUAAAAUAUGGUUACUUUUCAAAAAAUCCCGAAAAAACCCUUCAAUAGAACGCAAGACAGAGGAGAAUUUGAGAGCUCCAGAGUACUCCAAUGGCGGCCAAGAAGCAGGAGAAGAGCUCGCCGAAGAAGAGGAAGCAAAUCCCAGGCAAUAAGCCGGAGACCCACAGCUCCUCUUCCAAGAAGACCAAGCUCCUCGACUCCAAGCCCUCAAAUCCGCGUAGCACCGACUUCAAGAAACCCUCCAAACCUUUCAAGCCCCGAGAACCAGGACUCGAUCAUGAGAAACAAGUUCCGCUGUCGAAGCGAGAGGGCCGCCUCCGGGCCAAGGUCGAUAUCUGAUCAAUUUAACAAAGAAAUUGGGAUUUUUGAUUCCUGCAAUAAGAAUAUGUUGCUGAAGUUUUGUUUUUUAAAGGUAAAUCAACAAUUUUGAUUUGCGGCUAUUGUUGCAGGAACUUGCGGAGGCUAGGAAGAAGAAGCGGAAGCGUCAUUACAAUUUAGAGCAAGUGAGUUUUGUUCACUCCAAUUUUUUUCUUUUUAUAAGCAUUUCAAUUUGCAAAUGAUUAAUAGGGAAAGGAAAAUAUCAUUAGGUAUUGGUGGUGCUUGUGCGACAUAAUUUGAAUGUUAAUCGGUUGAUGAAACUUGGCCUUUUAUGAUUACAUUCAAAAAUGUGCACCAGGCGUUCGAAACUAGUACCGCCUCGUUAAUUCAUGCGUCGUUAAUCCCAUUUAAAUGCUCGAACUACGAGCUUAUUGUGGCAAUGGGAUGAACCUUGUUUUUUGCCCCUUAUUUUCAUAGGAGCUUGCACAUCUGUGGGAGAAGAUGCGGCAACGAAAUAUAUCCAAAGAAGAUCGAUCCAAGUAUGUAGUUUGAAACGAGUUCUAUUGCAAUUCUACCUCAAUCAUCUCUCUGUAAAGCCAUGUUCUUCAUUUACUUAUUCUUGUUAUCUAUGAACUUUGGUAAGGUUGGUGAGUGAAGCGUUAGAGAAAAUGAAGGGGAAAAUUCCUGAAAUCGCAAGUUCCCAUGUGUCUUCUCGUGUUCUGCAGGUUUUUAUCUUCAUUUAUCAAAUGAUUUGAAGUUUUAAGUCCUUGUUUUCUUUUAGCAGCCUGUACUUAUGUGCUCCUUUUACCUUAGACUUGCGUUAAGUACUGUUCACAAGCGGAAAAGGAUGCGGUUUUUGAGGAGCUUCAGCCACAUCUUCUAACUCUUGCAUGCAACACAUAUGCUGUUCAUCUGGUGACCAAAAUGUUAGACAAUGGUAAGGUUGAGCUUGGAAGUAGAUAUGUAGAAAGUUGUACUCUUUGACUUUCAUACAAAACUAUUAUAGUUUGAAUAUCAUUGGUAGCGCACACCCUUUUGUUUUCUGAGAAAUUAUUAAGUUGUUACCUAUGCUUUAUUUGGCAGCCUCCAAAAAGCAGCUAGCGGCAUUUAUCUCCUCUCUCCGAGGACAUGUUGCUUCCCUUCUUCGUCACAUGGUUGGUUCUGUAGGUAUGUUAGAUGCUCUCUGCAGUACUUGGAGAUACAAUAUCCAACCAACCUUUUUUGUUUCCCUUAUUACUCUCUAAGCGGUUAUAAUAUUAUUACUACUUUUCUAAAUCCUCAUAUAGUCGUUGAGCACGCAUACCAAUUGGGAAAUGCAACUCAAAAGCAAGAGCUUUUGGUGGAACUAUAUUCUACAGAGCUUCAGUUGUUUAAGGACUUGGUCUCGAAGAAUGAGGGCAGGUAAAGGAAGAGCUGUGUAUAUUCAUUUUACAUGAAUGUAAUGUUAUCACAUUCUCAUUGCACUUUGUAUCAAAUUCAGGUUACUAGAUAUAAUUUCAAAGCUAGAUCUGCAGAAAUCUUCAGUCUUCCGGCACAUGACUUCAGUGAUUCAACCAAUUUUAGAGAAAGGAAUAAUUGAUCACUCUAUAGUACACAGGGUGUUGAUAGAGUACUUCACAAUAGCUGAGCAGGUGUGGUUUAGAUAUUAAUUGCAAAUUAUCAUUUUCUGAAUCUUGCCUACAAUUACGAUAUAGGCCUUUACUUGUCAUUUUGUCUCUCCUUUCUAAACAUCUAGUUUUUUGUUUUAAGUUCUCUGCCACAGAUGUAAUUAAACAGUUGUCGGGUCCACUUCUUGUUCGGGUGAUCCACACAAGGGAUGGAUCCAAGGUUGGGAUGCUCUGUGUCAAGCAUGGCAGUUCAAAGGUAGAUUGUUAUCAUAUCAAGUGCAAAUUGAUGUCAGUUGACUAAAUGUGUUGGAAUUUUGGCUACUAAUCUACAUUAUCUUUUAAUUUUAUGACUUGUUUUUAGGAAAGAAAGAAGAUAAUUAAAGGAAUGAAAGGCCACGUUCAUAAAAUAGCUCUUGAUCAAGGUGGAAGCAUGGUAAGCUUAGGAGACUUUAUUAUUAUUUUUCCUGUAUGUUACUUUAGCACUUAUGUGUGAUAUUGUGUAUUAAUUUUUUUUAUUUUGAUACUUCUUUUUGUAUUGUUUAAGUUGUCUUCAUACAGCUUACUCUAAUAUUUUGCAUAUCUGAAAAUGAAUGAAUUCUGUACUUCCCAGGUGCUUGUUUGCCUUGUUUCAACUGUUGAUGACACAAAGCUUACUACAAAGGUUUGCUUUUCUUGUGGUGUUUGUUGCAGAUAGGGUUUUAUUUAUUUAUUUAUUUAUUUUUUUCACUGGGGGGUGGAGGGGGUUGUGGUAUAUACAGAUUUCUGGUGAACCUCUCUAAUUCAGAUACUAUUUAUUACAGGUUGUCAUUAAUGAGCUUCAAGAAAACCUAAAGGAUCUUGUUCUCGAUAAGGUUGUCAUUUCUUUCUACUGCAUAAAGGCUUGAUCAAGUUUUCAUAUCUACAGUCUCUAGUGGUCCUAUUUCAACUAUUCUCUACAUUCCUAAAAGAUGUUUUUCUAUUGCAAUCUUUCAGAAUGGAAGGCGCCCAUUACUGCAGCUACUUCAUCCAAAUUGUUCACGUUAUUUGACUCCUGAUGACCUGGCUUCCCUCAGUUUGUCUAUCCCUUCACUUUCCAACAAGGUAGAUUUCAUAUUCUCUUUUUGUAGAAAAUAGAAAUGUAUGUGGCCAGUAAUCGUUAUGCAUGAGAACUUACUCUGUUUCUAUGUAUUCUCAGGUUGAACCAGACAAUUCUGAAACAAAAUCUUCAAAGGUUAACAAAUCUGGUGAAGAGGCCAAUAGUGAUUUGGAAUUGGAUGAAGCCGAUAUGAAUCAUGAUGAUGGCCUCCACUCAGUUGAGGGAGGAAAAAAGGAUCCUGCCGUUCGAAGGCAAGAGUUGUUAGUCCAGAGUGGGUUGGCCGAGGUUUGUUGCUUUUAAUACAAAACAGAUUCCAAUUUGAACAUAGACAUUAUUAGUGAAAUUGAUUUAAAUUAAACUUGACCGUCUUUUAUACUAAGACAUUGACUUUGAUCGGGUAUGCCUUGCAGAAGCUAGUUGAUGUAUGCAUUACAAGUGCAGGGGAAUUACUUAGAUCAAAUUUUGGCAAAGAAGUCAUAUAUGAGGUACCUAUUUCACUAGUUCCAUUUAAUGCAGAUAUAUUAACCAUGGAAAACGUUUUAGCAUUCCAUCCAAUUCCCGUGCUUUGCUUGUCAAAUGUGCAUUCUGAAAUGUUUGAGAAUUUUCAACACUUCCGUGUGUUCUUGCGUUUGAAUGCUUUGCAGGUUGCAACUGGGGGUGCUGGUGGCAUUCUCCACCCAACUUUGGAUGACAAGUUGAAUGAACUAUAUGAAGCUAUAGCAUCUCUUGUCGCAGAACCUAAAUCCCAAGAAUCCGAAGAGGACUCAAAAGAGGAACACAUCCUUGAAAAUUUCCAUUCCAGUCGGACCAUUAGAAAACUAAUCUUGGACUGCCCCACAUUUGCUUCCACUUUGUGGAACAAGGCACUUAAAGGAAAGUGUGAUUUGUGGGCCCAAGGUCACAGGUCAGCCUCUUUGUCUUGUUUCCCUGUAUUAUGAUAUGUGCAUAAGAAAGCAUGUGAUUCUUUCUUUUGUACGUAGUUGUAAUUUUCUUUUCUUCAACUUUUCACGCCCAAGUCUCGAUAAUAUUACACUUUAGAGAAAAACAUUUCAAACUCAACAUUUUAGGGGAAAAAAAACCCAACCAACAUGAUAGUGAGAGGAGGAUUUCACAACUACGAAUCAAUUAGAGCAUUACUUUCGUGUUUUUUCUCUGAGCUCGUGAAGUGUUUUUGUAUAAGAUUUGUAGUUAUCGGGGUCGUUUUAUCUAAUUUAUUUUUUUCUUUCUCUGGGAUUGCAGUGGGAAGGUGAUUGCUGCAUUCUUAGAAUCUUCGGACUCUAAGGUCAAUCAACUGGCAAAUAAAGAGUUGAAGAAGUUGAUAGAUGGUGGCAUUCUCAAAGUUCCUGAGCCAAAAGUAGUUACCGGAAAGAAAGAAUGAGGAAAUUGUGGUAAAGUCCCUGAGCUGAAACACUAAGUGACACCAACUCCGUUCCGGCAGCCUGCCUUCAGCGUAACUCUUUUGACUGAACGUAGUUAAAGGCCAGCUUAAAAUUUUGUAGAAUCCACCUUAUAUUUAUACAGUUUGUAAUGUGGUUGGUACAAUCUCAAACUUUUACACAAUUUGGCUCUGAUUAGCGAGUUAUUGUUGUGCGUUCAACAUAUUGGGAGGGCUACUAUUUGAGAUGCUUAUUUUCUUUUAUUCAAGCGAUGUUAGGAAGGUUGGAUUCAAACACACAACUUCGGGCAUUAAUCAGUUUGAGUUACGAGCGCAUUACGUGAUGCUUAUUUGGUUGAUAGGCAAUGUUGCUAGAUCAUGAUGCUUGACAACGAAAACCAAAUACUCUAUACACAAUCAACUUCUUACCUACUAUUUCUCAUGAGAUCCUUGAAAUGUCUUGCACUCAAGUUAGGUAGAGCACAAUCUCCGCUUUGGGGGAGAUCUUACGUACGUCUUGCUGACCAGAUGAUCGAAUACACCACGCCAUGUUUCAUCCUCUCUUUCUAUAGAGGAGAGAAAGGAAGAGAAAACGAUAAAAUUGUGCUCAAUUUCACACGUAGCAAUUCCGCCAAGAUCUCUUUAGUUGGGGGAAGAAUCAAAUACUUGGAAUAAUUCUACCACUUUUAUACUAGCUUGCCGUUGGCCUUUAUGAAUUUAAUCUAGACUACAUAGGUGCAGGAAGCCUUACCGCCUCACCCGUCACUGAAGCGGAUUCGGAAUUGUCUUUCAUUCCAAGGCAUUACUUGUAUCCAUCCGCUUCAUAUUUGCCUGGAGCUCUAUGGUUUGGGUUAGGUUUAUCAUUAGGUGAUUAGGAAGCAAUCGUCUCUAUCGUCGUAAAAUAAGAGCUUUUAUGACCUAGCGACCCCUGUCCUCGUUAGUUUCUAUAAUUGCGCAAUUUCAUAAUCUCUUUCUCACAAUUUAGAUUAAUUCAGCGUAGACUAUUUGUCGAAUCGAAAACAGAAACCAAUCAUCUAGCAAUCAAAACAAUGCAGGAAGAAAAAGUUGAAUGAGCCUAAAAAGAGGCCUGUCAUCUUUUUCCAAUUAAUCAAUCAAUCAGUCAUGAACGAACACAAGUAGACCUACUCUUAAACAUCCCACUAUCCGAUCUGACCUCAAACACUGGAGAAUCAUAACUACCUCUACCCUGCUCAUAAUUGAGUACAUGAUGCCCAGUUCUCAACUGCCAAAAGUUCUUCGGCUUCUCGUAAAUUCGAGCCCGAAGAUGAGGGUAUCCCUGAACCUUAUGGUCAGAUGGGUUGAAGACAGGGGAUUCCCUUGGGAACCUGCUCUGAAACGCAUCAAAAGCAGCAGGUGGAGUAAAUAGUGAGGAGGAGGAUUGCUUUCCUGGUGUUCCUGCAGCUGCAUUGGCCUUCAAGCAGCUUUCUAUCACCCUUACCUCCUCUCUGAAUCUGUUUCUGACAUCUUUCAGUCCCUUGGUUACUUUGCAAGGCCUUGAAUUUGUGGGAUUGUAAGGCUUGUGAUGUGAAGAAGGAUUGGGAUUGGCAGUGCUUGGGGAGUUGUGGUGGGUUGUUGUGUAGGUGAUUGUGCCACACUCAGAGCAGAACCUCCUCCAUCUCUCCAAGUCAAAAACUCUUCUUUUUGCAUCAUCUGAGAGACAUGAAUAUGCCUGCAAAACAAUUAAAAAAAAAUCAGAAAUUUGAGUUAGUUCAUAAAUUGAAAUUGAAUGCGGUCACACCAUAACACAUGAAUAUGUUGUUGGGCGUCCAAUCUGUGCUGUCAGGUUGUCACAUGGGACUCACCCUUCACCAAAGUGCUUGUACGGUUGUACCCCAAUUAAAGUGAGGCAUAAUAUUACCAACAUAAAGCUUUAGGAAAUUGCUGUCAAAUAGACUAUAGCAAAUAGUCUCCUUAUAUUGAUAUGAUCUCGAUAUGUUGUCCAUACUGUCUCAUUAUAUCGGUAGCAAAUACUCUUAAAUAGUUUGAUAUGAAACAAAUAAUAUCAAUACGUUGUCGUAUUGCCAAUUUGUUAUAACAAUAGUACUAUAUGAGGAGAGUGAUGCAAUGAUAGUGUUAUUUAAGAGGUGAUUUCACAAUCUCGUUUGCUCCUUUUGCGCUUCUCCUUUUUUGUCCAUUCCUCUUUAAUUUAUUCAAUCUAAAGACGGAAAAAACAACGUAGAAGAGUGCAUUAAAAGGAAAAGCGAGUUUGGAAAUCACUAACCAAGGUCCCAAAGUUUUCAUUAUUGUAGUGGACAGGGGUGCAAUAUGGUUAUAGAGUAACAACACACAAUCAAAAUGGUGGAAAUUGUAAGGAGAACCAUUCUAACCUCAGAAACAAGCUUGAAUGCAAUUUCAGCUUUUGGGUGUUUGUUCUUAUCUGGAUGAAGUUGUAAAGCUGCACAAGAAAUAAUAAUCCCAACCAAUAUUACCAAUCAAGCAAUAAUACCUGAUAUCUUGGAAAUAUGUAAAAUGCCAAUCUUUUUGCCCAAAACCUACCAACAAACCUACCAAGUUCAUGAUAUCUCUUUCUUAUAACAUCCGCGCCAGCAUUUUCCUCCACCUAUGAAUUUCCAAAUUCCCACAAACAUUUACAAGCAAUCUCGAAAUUUAUAAAACAAGGGAAGAAAGAAGAAGAAUCCCAAAAUGGGUUCACAUUUUGAAUCCAAAAGGUGCAAGAAAACGUACUCGAAGGAGGCGAUACCAAUCGACGAAAGACGAAUGAACAGGGCUGCUGCCGCCGCCAUGCCGGUGAGAGCAGGCAAUGGCGCGCGCGGAAACGGAGCAAAUCUCAGUCACCAGCUGGGAUUUCAAAUCAGAAUCCUGCCCCAUUUUUUUCUCUCCAACGGAGAAAAUGGAAAAGAAAGAGAAAAUGCUUGAAAUUGAAUUGUUGUGUUGGGGUUGGAGAGAGAGAGGGAGGGAGGUGGAGCGGUUAAGAAAAAUGAGCCAAAAUUUGCGGGUGUGAAUUUUGAAAGUGGAUAUCAGUUGGUGGCAAAGCGAGGGAAUAAGAAGGGGUCGUCCGAUAAUCUUGCCACGUGGAUCAAUUUUGAGGUGGUAUGGUCCUUUCCGUAUUUUCCUUAGCUUAGUAUUUGAGGUUCAAAUUUAAAUCAAAAGGAAUUGGUACAUAUAUUUUGUUGUUUUUCUUCCCAUAUCUGAUUGUUGAGAUUUUUACUAUAUGGUAUAUAUAUUUUGUUGUUUUUGCUACCUUGUAAUUAAAUGGUAUAUUUAUUUCCAAUAAUGUAUUUGAUUUUUUUUUUUUUGGGAGAAGAAAAAAAUGGAAAUAUUGAUUGAAUAUUUGAAUAUGACCACUUUAAAUUAAUCGUGUAUGAAUGAAAUUAAAAUCUCAACCAAAAAUAUAAGAUGUUUAAUGAACAUAUAUGUAGGACAAUAUGAUCCAUGUAUCUAAUUAUAAGAACUAGUUGAAAGACAGGGAUCAUGGUAACUCCAAUGCAAAGAUGUAAAAUUGGAGAUGCAAAUGUAUUUUUAUCAACUCUUGUGGCAUCAUCACUAUUAGAAUUUACAAACAUGUAAACAGUUUUUGCUUCAGGUGGUAAAAUUGCAAAAUCUUGAGAUGUUAUUUGCAUUUUUUUUUUUUUUUUUUUUAAAUUUUUUUUUUUUAAAUUUGUAUCGAUAGAUUAAAGAGAGAACUUUAAGGUGAAAAUUGUCCGUUUCAAAACAAUUUACAUCUUUCCUUGAGAUUAAGAGUUAGUUGAUGACUAUAUACAUAUCUCAUUGCCCUUAAAACAUCCGAUAAAAUUGAAAUGACCAUCGUGAUACUUCUCACUUGUUAGUAAUAUGGUACAAGAAUUAGAACAUGUUCCAAAGCAAGAAUUUAAGAUGAAGCAAAUGGUUGGUGGAGAUUGUGGCUACAAUGAAACUAUGUUGGUACUUGUUGGUUUCUUGGUAGAAGAAGUUAGCAAUGAGAGGUCAUUUUACAAAGAGUAAUGUUAUUCAUACCAUAUUUUUAUACCACAUUUUUAUACCACUUUAGGUGUCAUCUGAUAUGAACAGCCACAUCAUUUAAAAAUUUGCAAAACCCAAGGAAAAAAAUAAGAAAGACUCAUCGUAUACCACAAUCAUCAUUUAAUUAACUAGUUUUUCUUAAUUAUUAGUUUAUUAAAUAAUUAACUAAAUUUAAAAAUAUGAUUAAUUCAAAUGAUGUGACUGUCCACAACAAAUGCCCACUUAAGAUAGUAUGAAAAUGUGGUACAAAAACAUGGUAUGAAUAACAUUAUUGUUUUACAAAUGUCAGUGUGUCUAAAAUAAACUCAUCCAACCAAAGGUGCUGUAUAUAAAUGGAGGGUCCCGAAGAUUGAUUGUUUGCAGUAGUAGAUUGCAACUACAAAAGGUGCAGCUGGUUAUAAGUUGAAACUCAUGAUGAACAGUCCCAGAGAGAGUUUUAAUUAGUAGGUAGGCAACAAAAGCGUACUCAACUUAGUUAGUUAAGAACAUUUAUUUUUGCGCUCAAGUUUUAUUUUUUCCUUUCGUACUAUUUAUUUAUACUACAAAAAUGCAUCAUGUGAUGUGUUAAUUAAGGGUAAUGCUAGAGAGACUAAAUUUGUAGACAAAAUUUUAUAAAUUAAACGACAUGGAAGUUGAUGAUUGGAUUAUUACUGAAGUGUUGAUUAACAUAUUUAUUUUUUAUUGAUGACACAUCAUUUGAAAUGUAAAUUUAGUCUACAAAUAAAGUUUACUUAGCAUUAUUCAUCAAAUAAUGCAUACAACUAACAUAUAAUAAUGUAAUUUCCAUAACAUUUUUCUUUUCAAUAUACAGGAGCCAUGCAAGUUAACAUUGAUAUUGAAUCUAAUAAGAAGUAACUUGCACGUGAAGAAAGGAGGCUAGUAGGUGGAAGAAUAUGUAGUCGACUGCAUAGAUAAUGCCCAGUUGAAACUUUGGUAUUAGUUGGUAAUCAAGAGUAGGUAAACAAGAGCUUCCUGCAACUCUACCUGUAGGGUCCUUAAUUGUAUCGAAAUCUUGUACCAUUUUCCUAUGACUUUAAUCUCAAUUUUCUUUUCUUUUGUUAUGAGUUUUAAAGAAAAGCUUAGGCUCAUCUACGUUGCAACCACAUCGAAAAGUUUUGACCAUGCACGCAUGGCGCCGACCGGUAAAUGUAAAAAGAUAUUUGUUCACGCAUUUGUUGUAGAACUCGGAGUAGAGAAUAUUUAUUUACGUGUGCAUGAAUCACUGUUAAAUAUAAGAUUAGAAUUUUAGCCUUGGUUUGAAUUUAAUAAAGAUUAGACACUCAGUACUACGGUCUGAUGAUAUUAUUCUUCACUUAUAAGUGAUAGGUUUCGAAUCUCGUAGACGACAAAUUCGAUACUAAAUUAGAUUGUCUAUUGUAUGGUUUAGCCGAUCUCUCUCUUUUCUUAAUGUAAAAACAUAUCAUUGUAAUCAUAAAAACAAUUUAAUAAAGAUUAGACACUCAGUACAAUGCCCUGAUGAUAUUAUUCUUCACUUAUAAGUGAUAGGUUUCGAAUCUCGUAGACGACAAAUUUAAUACUAAAUUAGAUUGUCUAUUGUAUGAUUUAGCCGAUCUCUCUCUUUUCUUGGUGUAAAAACAUAUCAUUGUAAUCAUAAAAACAAUUUAAUAAGGAGUAGAUUAUGGUGUGGUAGGGUAUGAAUCCGCAUUUGAAAAGGCGCCCUGUUUUCGUUGCCCGAUGCCAAAUUGCCAAUAGUUUCUUUCACCACCCUCUCUCCUGGAAUCUUUCUUAAUAUGAGCAAUCUUGGCGUUUGGAAUUUGACCUUUGCCGUUCUUCAUUUGCCAAUUAAAUCAUCAAAAGUCUUGGAUUUGGAGCUUUUGGAGCUUUUGUUUUGAGAUUGGCGAGCCUCUUUGUGAAUUGGAUCGGUUGUUUUAUUUGGAGGAAAUUCCAAUCCCAUUAGGGCUAAUACAUAGGUCAAUACCAAGUGCAUUGGUUUUAUCUUUUUGGGAUUAUUUCAAUGCAUUUUACGUUGCUCAAUGUCAUUUUAUAUAAGUUUCCUUCCAAAUAUCCAAACAAUGAAACUAAUGAAGUAGUUGGAUGUAGACCCAAAAUUUGACCAUGGUCCAUGGCUAAGGCUUACUAAAAAUGAUCCAUCAUUCAGCUAAAUGUAAAUCCCUUGUUGUGAUGGAAAUAAAAUCAUGGAAAAAGUUUUCUCCGGACACAAGUUUUGCAAAAUAUUGUAGCCACACUCCGAGCUUUGAAUACAGUUGCUUAAAUUAGAAAGUUUGAAGUUUUGAAGCAAACAUCCAUAUACGAAUUUUUCAGUGACACAUGCAUUGACAAAGUUCCUUAUAAUGAUUUUUUUUUUGUUUUUUUUUCAAGAUUGAAAACAAAAGGUUAGGUAUUUAGGCGAUGUUAUAUUGGGUUAAUUUCUUCCUUCAAAUAACUCAGCUUCUUCUCAUUGGUUAAACUUAAGUGUAGUACCAAAUUAGGUAAAAAGGACAACCACCUCAAAUAGACAUUAAUAAAACUCAAGUAUAGUACCAAACUGGAUAAAAAGAAUUUAUGGCCUACCUUUUACUGACAGUUAAUUAAAUAUUCAAAUUAUUAUUAUUAUUUUCAAUUACAUGAAAUAAAUACACAGGAUAACCUAGCCAACACCACACUAUAUAAGCACAAUUAGUUCUAGUCACUGGAUCGGACUAGCCUUACUAUUUCAAAUAAUCGAGACAUAUCUACAAGUUGAUUAGUCUGGAACAACCCCAAUUAGAAUAAAACGAGUCUACAACAAAAAGUGAUAAAGGCCAUCAAAGCACACAGACUAGGAUUGUUGGUAAAAAAAAAAUUCAUGCCAAAAUAAUGAAGAAAAGAGAAAAGUUUUGGGGUUUUUGUAAUGACCAUUUUGUUGCCGGAAGGCUGCAAAUCAUGUCUUGAACUUCAAAAGAAGUUCAAGUACGAAAAACGACCGGAGGAAGAAAAGAGUUCAAAACCAAAGGUUUGGUAUUUUGGGUUCUCUUUCCUUCAAAUAACUAAAGGUUUGUUUGGUAUCCUACUUGACUCUAACUUUUUUUACUGAAAACCAUUUUUUGAGUUUUAGGCGUUGAAUUCUUGUUUGGUAGGACUCUUUUUAAAAUUUAGAUUCAUAACUAACUUAAAAACAUAUGUUAUUUCUUAAAAACAUUAAAAGUGAGUUUUUAAAGUUUUUUUUGUUUUCUCCUCAACAUCUAUUUUUUGCUCUCUCCUAAUCCUUUCUUUUUUCUCUCUCCUAACCCUCUCUUUCCUCUCUCCCCACGUCACACCCUAUCUUCUUUCUCUCUCCUCACCCUUUGUCCCCAUCACCCUCUCUUUCUCCUCACUCCUUACCUUCUCACCGUAAUUUUUUGCUCUCUCCCUCACCUUCUCAUCCUCUCUCUGUCUUUCUCUCUCCUCGCCAACUAUUUCCUCCCUCAUCUUUCCCAAUUCUCUCUCUCCUCCAAUUUCUGCUCAAGGUAGUUUGAAUUCAAACUAAAAAAUUUAUUUUUAAAAAUCUGAAAAUAUGACUUUAACCCUUCAAAUUCAAUUUUUUUUCAUAUAAAACCCGAUAUAAUUUUUUUACUUAAAAAAGCCCCAGUGACUAGGAUCCACCUAAGUGAAUUCAUUAAUUACAUAUUACUUUACACAUUUUACAUUUUUAGAUGCCCAAAAUACCCCUAUUGCAUAUUUGAUGUGCACAAUUAAUUCUAUAUAGAUUGUAAGGAGAGACUUAAUGAUUUUGUAAAAAGAAAAAUAAGACAUUAAUGUUAAAAAAUUCAUUGCAUAUUAAUAUCAAAUAUGAGAAUUGUUGGCUUAAUUCUAUGUAUCUAGUAUUAUGAGUUCAUAUAUAUAUUUUUACACAAAAAAAGCCUAAUAUAUGUAAUAAUACAUAAAAAAAAAGUAAUUUACAUACCAUGUACAAAAAUGUUAUUUGAUUCAAAAUGUGUGUAUAUAUAUAUGUGUGUGUGUGUGUGUGUGUAUUUAUAUAAUUAGACCAUAUUAAUUUACCUACCUACUAUUUGAAAUGUUCAUGCAAAAUAUUGUAUACCAACAACAAAAGAUUGCAUAAACUUAGGAAUUGGAUCAUGUUUUUUAUUUUAUCUUUUACCUACAAACAAUCAUAUACAUACUACUUUAUAUAUUUUGACCAAAAAACGUCCCUAAUAGGGUAAUAUAUGUAAUAAUACAUGAAAAAUAAUUUACCUACCAUGUAUACAAAAAUGUUAUUUGAUUCAAAUAAUAUAAUCGGGGUUUUCUCAAAAAAAAAAAAAAUUAUAUAUAUAUAUAAUCUAGGUGUAGUGUGUGUGUAUAUAUAUAUUUAUAUAAUUGGAACAAAUUAAUUUACCUACCUACAAAUUAAUUUCCAAUAAUUUACCUACAAAAAAUUAAUUUACCUACCUACAACUUAAUUUUCAAUAAUUUACCUACAAAAAAUUAUAACCCGUGUGUAAUAUAAUAUCUUUUUUUCACUAAUACAUUGAGAAUAAUUUACCCAUAACAAGAAGAAAUAUAAUUUGAUGUAUUAUAUUGAAAAAUAUUAUGUCAUACCUAUAUUUAUACAACAAUAAAAUGUGUCUAAUAUAUGUAACAAUACAUGAAAAAUAAUUUACCUACAAGUUAGAGAAGUGUUAUUUGAUUCAAAUAUAUAAUACGGAUUUAGUAUAUAUUUUUUUUAAUAAUUGGAACAAAUUAAUUUACUUCCCAAUUAAUGCAAAAUAUAUAUAUAUAUAUAUAUAUCACAAAAAAGGUAAAUUUUUGGUAUGAUACGGAUACAAUUAAUGCAAUACAACAAUUUAUAUAUUUUAUUUCACUUUUUCUACAACUUUUAAUUUGGAAUAAAUUUAGGGAUUUGGGAAAGUGGCAUGGGUGUAAAUAAAUUGUAUUAGUAGGUCAAUAGUGUUCCGAUGUGGCUGCAGAUUUUAAAUUUGAGCUUUUAUUGGACGUUUAUUUGUAAAUGAGUUUUUAUGUAGGAAUCAUGAAUUGUAAGGGCCAAAAUCUAAGUCACCCUUAUUUUUAGGAACAAUCAAAGUUUUUUGGAUAGAAUACCAAAUGGGCCCUAAGCUUCUUAAUUUAAGUCUAAUUCCAAAUUAGUUGAGAAAGGACAAGAACUCAAAAAGAAUUGGUUAAAACGACUAAUUAGCUCUCAUGUGUUUAGAAAUUUUUAUAUUUCGGGCACAAAUCAAUGACCAUUUCAUUUUUUUGGCAUAUGUCAAUCGAAACAAUUUGAAGGUCAAUAAAAAUAAUUUUCCCUUCAACUAUGAUCAAUGACCCCUUCCUGAGAUUUUUCUUUAUUGGCUUCUCCUCAACACUACAAAAUGUCAGUUGACUCAAUCCUUUUGUUGAAAAUAUUUUUGCGACCUGGAAGGCUAAAACAAAUUAGCUAUUUGCGAGUUAUUUCAUGUUGGUGAUUUAGACAUUCUUUUGAGAAUGCACUACUUACCUAACACGACAAGUUUUUGGCCUUGAUACUAGGCGAGGUUAGCUGAAACUUGAAGUUGGAGGACAAGCGAGUUGUACAUCACCAUGAUGAAGCCGAUGAGAACCGUAUUGCCAAUUUAUGUCAUCGCCACAUAUAAAUUGAAAUUUCAGUUUGAGAACAUUAAUUUGGUCCUUUUUUACUAUUAUAGCUUAUGUGGAUAUUUUGACAUCUCAUUUGGACUCAUUUGGAGAUGCUCUAAAAGACAUAAAAGUUGAUGAUUGUUUUAUUACUUAAGCGUUGAUAAACGCGCUCAUUCAUAUUAGUGACACAUUAUUUAAUUUGUAAAUUUUAUCUCCAAGUUUAGUCUCCCUAACAUUAUCAUUUUAUUUACGUAUGGUACUCAUUAUUGGAUAAUCUCUAAUGCAAAUACUUAAAUUCUAGACAUAUAUUCUUAAAUUUGGGUUCCAAAAAGAUGGUGGAUUUAUGUAUUUUGGUUGCAUUCUCCAAUGCAAAGACUAAAAUUUUAAAACUCAUUUUGAAUUUUAAGAUUUGAAUGUUUGAAUUGUAGGAGAAAACACAAUCAAGUGGUAUUCAUAUUAUUUGUUUUGUCAAACAAUAGAUUUUGUUAGAUUAGAUGUUAAAUUAGUCACUGACAGGGUUCAAAUUCACGCCGUCAUACAAUAACUCAACACAUUUACACCACUGUGGUGUAUUGGAAAACUUUACACUCAAAUAUAAGAUUUGAAUCCAAAUUUUUCGGUGGUGCAUUGGAGAUGCUAUAAUAAUGUAUAAUGGAAUCUCAAAGCUAUUAAACAUAGCGAUGUAAUAUAUUAGUUGGAAGCCUUUAAAAGAAGGGAUCCUCAUUUAAAAAAAAAAAUAGAACACCCUUUUGACCGUUAGAUUUGGCUUUAAUGAAAUUAUAUGGCAUGUGAUUUAAUCUCAAUCACAAAAUUUCAUUAAAACUAAAUCUAACGGUCAACAAAGUAUCCUUAUUUUUAUUUUUUUUAAAUGAGAAUCUCUUCCCUUAAAAGGCUUACUGAACUUUGAAGUUUGAUGACAUGCUGAAUUGUAGGAUGACUUCACGUGUUGGAAAUGCAAAAAAUGUGUAGCAAGUAUGAAUUAUCCAACACCAACCGUCAGUAAUUGAUUUGACAUGGUAAUGUGGUUCGAUUUCCUCAAUGAUUUUUGUUAGAAAUGAAUCAAAACCAAAUCGUUCUAUUGUAUUAGUUCUACACGUAAGUUACUGUCUAUCAAAGUAGGAUCAAAUUGGGUGACCAAACCUAGCAACAUUUGGGCCUUGUCACCUCAUAAAAUAAACAUUCACCGCCAUGGCGCACAAAAUUACACACACAUGAGAAUUGAGAUGGGUUGGAUCCAGCCAUCUCUUUCCUCAACCCGUGGGCCCCAUUAUCCUUUUGUCCCUACCCCGCCCAUCUUAACGAGAGAUUUUUAAGAGUAAUACUACAUUUACUUUUUAUUUUACCAUUUUUUUCUAAUAAAGGUAAAGUCAUCAACACAUAUAAUAUAAAUGAUACAAAUAAAUAAAUAAAAUAAAAUUUUUAUUUUUCUAAAUAUCGAGUGUUUAAAUAGUACUCCACACUUAAUAAUACAACUUUGAAAAAUUUCUCCAUCUAAACCAACACGCAUUGUUAUCACUUAAUACUACUAUUUAGUGAUAUUUCUCUUUACUUCUAAUUGAAAGGUGUAAAUGCAAAUUUUCACUGUCUUCUCUUAUGACGAAAACGCACCUGUAAAAUAAUAACACCUAAUAUUAAGGUCAAAAGCAUCAUGCGCCCACGAUGAAUGGGAGACUUUGACCGAAGAAUCUUUAAUGCCAAAGUUAGAAUUUGAAAGAGAAUGUGUUUAGGAAUUUUUGGGUAGAGAAUGAUUUAGAAUUUUAGUAGGAGAAUAUGGCUAUUUAUAGGGGAGUGAUCGGCCCUAUUUGGAAAAUAAGGGCCGACCAUAUAUGGUCAAAUUGUAAGUGUAAUUGCAAGAUAUUAUGUGAAAUAAUAUCUUGCAAUUAACUUGGCAAUUAAUCCAAAAUUAAAUAGAAAAAUUGGGAGUUACCUUUUGAAUAAGGAUUUGAUGAUGAGUGAUGAGAGGAAUUUGAAUAAAUACCAUUUUGAUCACCUUUGACUCUUCCUUGAUUGAGUCGUUAUUGUUUGUUGCAUGCGCAUGGGAGUCCCGGUGUGCCUUUAGGGUAAUUUUGUCAUUUUUAUCCAAAAGUUCACGUGUCACCUCCAUAAUUUUCUUGAUUGUUUUUUGCUCCACAAAUGCCCCCACACUUAUUGGGCUGCUCACAGGAAAUGAUAGCAGGUGCAGAAAUCUUCCCUUGCUUUAGGAAACGUAAGAUUGUUUCCUAUUUUGAUGUAGAUUCCCACAUUAAUUGGAAAUUAGAUCCUUCUAGGAAAGGGAAAUAAAUUACUUCCAAAGUCUAUUUAAGUCUAACUUAAGUAGAUGAUUAAAUCAACUUCAGGGAGCAAUUUAUUCUACCUUACAAGAGAGAGAAAGUUAGAGGAUAUUUGUUCCUCAUUCUCUAGCAAUCUUCUACACGUGUCCGUACAAAUGAUCGUAUUUCGUUGCUUUCUUCAUCUUCAAGCCGCACCAAGGUAAGAAAAUUAAUUAAUUUUGCAUUGUCUUCGUAAUUUUUUGGAGUCUCGGGCCUUGAAAUUUGGCUUGACGGGGGUCGAGGAUGUGUGAAAAGGUGGCUUGAAGGGCCACGACACUGUUGCCGUGGGUGGUAUGGUGCGGUGGCGACUCGGCGUGGGUUGAGGUCUGGGUGCAGUGGCGUAGGCCGUAAGGGCGAGCUAGGGCUCAGCUUGGGUCGAGGCUGUGAGGUGCUGGGGUGCUGAGCUUUAGGCCACUGGGCUUGGGCUAGUGUGGGAGAGGUGAGAAAGAGAGAGGAGUGGGGGCGCCAACCCUCAUCCUCUUGGAUUGGGCCAAGAGAAUGCCUGGCGUGUUAGGCCAAGAGGGAGAGAUGAGAGCCAGCGCGGGAUGGGCUCCCUUGACUACUGUCCUUGGGUCGUGGGGCCUGAUGCUUAAUUUUUUUUAUUUUUUUGUGUAGUCAUCUAACGAUUCUUCCUUGCGUCUUUGUAGAAUUUCUUCGAGUAUGUUUUCUUCAAGCUACAAGAGUGAUGAUGGUGUGUCGUUGUUGUAUUGCCAAGGCAGGUCUUUGAGUAAAGUGGGCUACUUCAAGGCUACUUACUUCAAAAUUAGCUUCGAUGACUUGUUCAGAGAUUUCCUUGAAGCAUAUAGGCACGCUAUUUCAUCUGGGAUGCGUGUGAAACAUGUUAAGGAGGGUAGCAGCCGUGAGCCAUGUAAUGGGGCUCGGAGAGCUCACUGCUACUUCUGAAACUGCCAAGUAGAUGUAUAAGUCCUCCGCUACUUCCGGCUUAAAUAGUAAGAGAGGUGAUGUUAGAUACUUCUUUAGGUCUUGGAAAGCUCUUUCACACUCAUCAUGUCAUUUGUCUUGUUGUGCCCUCUUAAUGGCUUUGAAAAAAGGCUUGCAUCGAUCGAUGAACUGUGAGAGGAAAUGGUUGUGUACGGCUGCUCGUCUGGUCAGACCUUGAAUCUCCUUUAGAGUAGCAGAGGACUUCAUAUUCAAGAUCGCUCGGAUUUACCUUGAAUGUGCAUCAACGAGGUUGGGCUUUGUUGCCUCCGCCAAAUUGUUGAUGUGGUCCGACCGCUGCUUUGGGUCAAGAAAUAUGUGAUUAGUGUCUUUUGACCCGUUUCGGUUAAGGUAAAGUUGUCUUUCUACAUUUCAAUAUCCUCUACAAGGGUAAAUGACUUAUUCUUUCACUCAUUUAGUACUUGCAUAGUGUAUUGUUGAAAUGUGGCCUGGUUUGACUUGAUCUCUCCGACUCUUCCUCCCGGGAUUUGGAAUCAGAUUUUUUGAUACUCAAUAGAGGUUACCGCACCCAGUCUUUCUUGCCAGUGCAGACCUAGAAUCUCAUUUUAGGAAGACAUGUCGCUAGCUAUUAUGAACGUCCGUUUUGAGACAAUUGGGUGUUCUCAUGUCGAGUGUUAUUUUACCGAUAGCAGCUGAAGUGUGACCGUUGAAUCCAGUACGUACCUUCGCUCGAUGUAUGAUUAUGUUUUCUAGGCCUAUCUGCUAAAUAACUGAGAGUAUGAGUAGGUUAACUGCGCUGCCGUUGUCCAUCAUCAUUUUGUCGACUAUGGCGUGGGAUAGUUAGACAUAUAUCACUAGUGCAUCGUCGUGUGAAAAGUCGACGCCUUCGGCAUCCUACUCGGUGAAGCCAAAGAUAGAUUCAGGUUGGGUGUUGACUACCUGGACCUGGUAGACUAAUAGAGCUUGUUGGAUCUUCCUUUUCUUGGAGUUGUUAGUGGCCCCCAAGUGCUCAGAUUCGGCAAAGAUGUUAUUGAUUCGAAUUAUCUUAGUUAGCGGGUUUUCAUCCAUGUCUGCGUUCAUUUUAGGCUGCGUAGCUGGCUUGUCCAAGUAUAUGUCGACCUUGCCUUAUUUCACCAACUUUUCUAGGUAAUUCCUCCAAGUGUAGCAGUCGUCAGUUGUGUGACCGGGACCUCGAUGGAAUAUUCAGUACUUGUUAUGGUCUAACUUGGAGGUAUCUUCAUUUGAUUGCUUCGGCAGCUUGAACUAUGGUUCAUUCUUGAUGUCGUGGAGGAUUUGGUGGAUCGGGAUUGAGAACUUAGAGUAGUUCUUGGGUGCCGGGCCUCCUUUAGUUGAGGAUCGGUCCAUACGUUUGGCUUCAUGCAUGCUUUUGUUGUUGUACCGUUUCAUGUCUUCCUUCUUUUGAGUUACUGCCGAUUCUUUUCGAGGCAGCUCAGGUGCCUUGUCUGCUCGUCGAGCUUCGUCCCAAAAUGCAUGUUUCUCUACCAGAGCGAAAGAGUCUACGAGAGUUAAAUAUUCUUUCAUGAUCAAUUCUUCGAAUAGUGGGUGGUCUGCUGGAAGUCCUUUUUGGAAAGCUGCAUUAGCUAUCGAGUCAUCGCAUUCGACUAUCUUUACCUUAUCUGCUUUGAACCUCUUCACAUAGUAGCGAAGCGACUCCUUUGGGUUAUUCUUGACGUUGAACAAAUGGUCCGACUUCUUCUUGAUCGAGCAAUAUGAUGAAUACUCCUUGGUGAAAACCAAAGUAAGCUCAUCGAAACUUUAGAUGAAUUGUGGUAGCAUGGUAUGAAACCAAUCUUAUGCCUCGCCUUGUAAAGUGAUGGUGAAUAUCUUGCAUAUGAGAAUAUAAUUGUUUUGAUAAAGGAUCAUUGUGCUUCAGUAAUGCUUCAGGUGUUUCUCUAGGUCUCCAUCCCCUUUGAAUGAUGUGAAAUGUGGCAUGUUGAACUUGCUUGGGGGUUCUGCUUGCUCGAUCUCGUCUGUGAAUUGUGACCUGCUUAUGUUGGUCAUGUCUCAUCGUAGUGCCUUAUCAGUGACCUCAUUGCAUUAGAAAUCACUCAAUCACUCGAUUAUGAGCCUUUAUACUUCUUCUUGAAUUUACCUUCGUUGGGGGUAACAGAGCUCUCGGUUGCCCCUGGUCGUCACCUGUUGGUCUAGGUUGUUCUUCCAUGUGUUCGGCUUGUCUAUGCCGUUGUUGCGGUGCACAUGGUAUGUUCCUAGUAGACGAGUGAAUUUAUUGCAGGCUGCCGGUUGAACUUGAGCCGGAUUGAGUGACUGCUUCUCUCUGUCCGUCGUGCUACCUACUCCUAUGGCAGGUGGAAGAUGCUCCUUGCGGGCCUAGCUUCGCCUAGAAGGUUGCUUAUGUUAAUUAUCGAAGUGUGGUCCCAACCAUGAAUGUAUACUUAUCCGUGGGCCUAACCGAGAGUGUACGUUCAUCCGUGCGCUAAGACGACAUUAUAUGUUGAUUCAUUAAGGUCGUCUGCUGCGCGAUGGCACUUGUCAACGCUAUGACUUGUCGGGACAAGUGUUGUUCACCAUUUGGGUUGGAAAAGCUUGGACGGUAUGCGUUUCCUUGUCUAGUGGAAGUGUAAUGGGCUCCAGGCGCGAGAUUUGAGUUAAGAGAUGUCAAAUCUGCAGAGAAAUGAGGUGAAAAUACCCCCGGUUCAAUCGUUGGCCCAGAAAUCUGAAGUUGGGAUAGUUGAACUAGUUUUGAUUGUUUAGAGGGCCACGAGAGUGGGCUAGAUCAUGGAUUGGGCCGCGAGAGUGUGUGUGCACUAGGCUUCAUCUCUCAUUGGCGUGGCUUGUGCCUGCUGAUCUUGGGCUCGGUUUUGAAGCAUGCUAGGCUGUUCCAAUUGCUGCAGUUGCUUGGGCCUCAGUUGCCAUUGCAGCACCGUAGGCCUGUUGAAUAUGGGUUAUUUUGCGCUGGGUUGGCUGUUUUGUGGUGCAGGCCUAGGCCUGCUGCUGCAAUGUGGCAUGUUCACCGUGGGCAGUGGGCUCGCCAAGGGUUGCUGCCAUGGUUGCUACUGUGGUGGCUGCCAUAGUGGUGCCCCGUGGGGGUGGUGUCGCUCCACUCUUCGUCGCGUUGAUCCUUAUGGAUCGUUGUGGUCCAAAUCCUUGAACAUAUGAAAUUCCGUUCAUUGUGGUUUCUGAAUUUCUAGUCAUUGUACUUUUCUUUUACGUUUAUUCAAAUAAUUUUAUAGAAAAUUCUAGGAAUAAGAACGUAUGAAAAAUCUACAAAUGAACGAGAAAUUAGAAACUUUGAAUGUGAAAGUCUUCUUCGAGCGUGUGAAUCAAGAUCUCAAUGAAAGCACAAAUUUGUGGAUACAAAUUUCCGCCGUCUUCUCCUUUGAUGAAAAUGCACUUGCAAAAUAAUAACACCUAAGAUUAAGGCCAAAAGCCUCACGCGCCCACGAUGAAUGGGGGGACUUUGGCCGAAGAAUUUCCGAUGCCAAAGUUAGAAUUUGAAAAAGAAUGUAUGUUAGGAAUUUUUGGAUAGAGAAUGACUUAGAAUUUUAGUGGGAGAAUAAGAAUAUUUAUAGGCGAGUGACCGGCCCAAUUUGAAAAAUAGGGAUCGGCCAUAUAUGGUCAAAUUGUGAGUGUAAUUGCAAGAUUUAUGUGAAAUAAUAUCUUGCAAUUAACUUGGUAAUUAAUCCCAAAUUAAAUAGGAAAGUUGGGACCUUUUGAAUAAGGAUUUGAUGAGGGGUGAUGAGAGGGAUUUGAAUAAAUACCAUUUUGAUCACCUUUAACUCUUCCUUGAUUGAGUCGUUAUUGUCCAUUGCAUGCGCGUGAGAAUCCCGAUGUGCUUCGAGGGUAAUUUUGUCCUUUUAAUCCAAAAGUCCAUGUAUCACCUUUAUAAUUUUAUUGAUUACUUUUUGCUCUACAAAAAGUCUUAGGUUUGAGUCUCGUCAAAGACGAAUUUAAACCGUAUUAUUAUUAGUCCAUUAUGAAAUUAAGUUCAUCCUUCAUUCUUAAUAUAUAUAAUAUCGUUUGUUAAAAAAAAAAAAAAAAAAAAAAAAAAAAAAAACCAACACGGACAAGCCUCAAAUCCUCCGUUGCCUUUUGUCCUAAUUGCCAAAUCUACCCACCCCAAACAAAACCCAAAUUACUCCAUUAUCCGUAACGUGCGCGCAGCGCGCCCUUCCUCCGCCCAAAAACGUAAAACUUAUCGUGACCAAAAUACCCCUAUUCAAAAGAAUAUGUUACCUGCACCACCCCGCCAAUUAUUAGAGGCCUAAAAUCGUGAUUUCACCGUCGCAGUUCCCUCUUUAUUCUCUCUCUUUUUUGUUUUUUUCUGAUCAAUUUAUUGGAAUUUUAUCAAUUUUGGUUUCUCCGGAGUUAAUUUGCUAGUGCUGUCACUCUUUUAAGCUUUCGAUCUCGACAUGGCGGCGGGAACAAUGGCGACCGCCGCCGGAGCCGCCGUGAUUCUUUACUACGUGCUCAAUCGGAGGAUGGCAACGAACGAGGGCGGGGUGGAAGACGGGGACGACGACGGCGAUCGGAGUGGAAAGCUCUCAAAGAUGAGAUCGGCGAGGAAACGGCUUUCUCGGCGACCGGCUCAAGCGCCCGCCACGUGGGUCGAGUCGCUUACCACCUUGUCCGAUACGCUCCGGUUCACCUACUCCGAAACGCUCGGGAAGUGGCCGAUCGGCGACUUGGCCUUCGGUAUUAACUACCUCAUGCGGCGGCAGGUGAGUAAUUCGCUCAAAAUUGGAGUCCUUUCCUGCAAAUUUUCGCUCUUUUGUUGGUUGUGCUUGCAAAAGUUUCGUUAUUUGAGUAUUAAGUCCUUGAAUUUUUGGUUAAUUCGCAGGGUAACUUACAAGUUGCGAGUGUGUAUGCUGGUAGUGGUAGUGUGCAGCUCAAAGGGUCUGAAAUCGUUGAGGAGUUAAAUUAUUACUUGAAGUUGCUGACGCUUUGUAUGCUCUUUUCGAAGAAACCGUUUCCGGUGUUUUUAGCGUCCGGGGGUUUUUCUCAGGAAGAUGUUCUUCUUCAGAAGCCCAAGGCCGGGGUUAGUAAGCUCAUAACUUGUCUACAUUUGCUUAUGUUUUUAUUCAAAAUUGUUCUACUGGUAAUCGGACUGAUGUGGAUCGAUCGUAUUCCUUUUGGUACCAAGAGUAGUGGCAGGUUGGCUCCGUAAAUUCGAGCUACAGAUGCUAUAUUUUGAGACAUUUUUGUGUAGAUAUUUAGUACCGCAGAACUGUCUAAGCGCUCAAAUUUGUGGCUAAGCAAAUAACAUAUACAAACAAAUCCUUGGAUUAUAGAAUUCCAAAAUAGUAUACUCCGCAAAUCCAUAGAUUCAAACAAGAGCUGCCCACAUUCUUAAAAUCCAUCAUUUCCCACUUAGUCAUUCAAAAUCGUCAUAGGCUUAUAGCAAUACCAUAUUCACAAGCCCUUCGUUUGAUCACAACCGAAUUUUUCAACUUCAUAAGUAAGAGUGAAACAGGUUCAAGAGUCUAAGUUGAUGCAGAAAAUGAGAGAAGGAUAUCUGUGAUAAUGGAGUGACGAUGUUAAAAAUUCAAAAAAGAUGGACUUCAGUGGUCGAUUAAUGAGAAUUGAGUUUUGUCCUAGAAUUUAUUCAUAUUAACCACUGUGUUUGGAGUAUAGUUGUCAUGUGGCAAACAAUGGUGCUCGCAAUUCUAUGUUUCUGUGAGAAGGCAGCUUUUGGUUUUAUUAUUCUCUUUAAAAUUUGUGAUUGAUUCAUCUAUUAAUUAGAACAAUAUGCUUGCAGCUUCUGAAGCCUGCCUUCACAAUUAUACAUGAUAAGAAUUCAAAAUGCUUCCUUCUAUUAAUACGUGGUACACAUAGCAUCAAAGAUACACUAACUGCCGCAACUGGUGCAGUGGCCCCUUUCCACCAUUCGGUAUUGCAUGAUGGUGGAAUAAGCAACUUAAUCCUAGGGUAUGCUCACUGUGGGAUGGUUGCUGCAGCCCGUUGGAUUGCUAAGAUUAGUACUCCUUGCUUGCUUAAGGCUGUUGGUGAAUAUCCUGAUUACAAAGUAAAGGUAAAUGCCAUUACUUUAAUUUAAAUAAAGCAUGCCACUUGGUCACUGAUUUUACAUUUCAAAAUUGAUCAAAAGCUGUAUUAUCGCUUUCCUGCUUAUACAUGUUUUAUGCCUAAGUAAUGUUGAUAUGUGCAUAUCAGGUUAUUGGGCAUUCACUGGGUGGUGGUACAGCUGCGUUGUUAACAUAUAUUCUUCGAGAACAAAAAGAGUUCUCUUCAAGCACUUGCAUUACAUUUGCUCCAGGUAUGUCUGCUGAAUUUCUCUUUGUUAAUGGUUCUCAUAUCCAUUUGUUCAUGGAAAUGCACAUAUAAAUUCAAUAGAUAUAAGGUAUUAAAUUUGAGUCGUUACUUUUGAAGAACAGAUAAUGUGUGUGGGUAGGGGUGUCGUUUUAUGCUUAUAGGUUGGUGUAUUGGUAUCUGUGCUUUGCUUCAAAAAAGUGUUUCCUUGGGUCUUUUUUUGUCUGCUUUGGUAGAAAAUGCUCAAGUACCUACCUAAUUUUCAUUUUCCAGCUGCAUGUAUAACAUGGGAGUUGGCAGAAUCUGGCAAGCACUUCAUCACUACUAUAAUCAAUGGCUCCGACCUGGUUCCUACUUUCUCAGCAGCUUCUGUUGAUGACCUCCGCUCUGAGGUAUUUUAUUUUUACCAUAUUCAAGUGGAUGCAUAUAGCAUUCAUUCUUUCUAAUAAUGAGUAUAGUUUGAUUCUCGUCUGUUAGACAUUUCCAGAAUUCUUAUGAGAAUUUGUCAUUAUCAGGUCACAGCUUCCUCAUGGUUAAAUGAUUUGCGGGAUCAAGUUGAGCGGACCAGAGUUUUGAAUGUUGUUUAUCGCUCUGCAACUGCUCUGGGUUCUCGUCUACCUUCUAUUGCUAGUGCAAAAGCGAGGGUUGCUGGUGCAGGUGCACUAUUGCGACCAGUAUCCAGCAGCACACAGGUAAAUCUAUGUUUCAUAAUUUGUACAGUGUACUUGUGAACCGUUACUGAAAUGGUGCUAAUUGGCUCAUUUGAAUUAUAUUAUACUGGUCUAUUUGUUUAAUAAUCAUUAUUGAACAUCAGUUACUGCUGUCCAGUGUCCACCCUGCAUCCUUUGUAUCCCAAUCUUGCUCAUACUUUGUGUUAUAACAGGCUAUGCUUUGCAACUUGUAGGUUGUGAUGAAGCGUGCACAGAAUGUUGUUGUGAGAACCCAUUCAUCUAUAUCAUCAUGGUCUUGCAUGGGUGUACGUCGCCGUAAUGUGGGCCAAUUACCAAACUCUAAAGCAGACGAUUUGCAAGAAUCUUCUAUUAUAUGUGAAAAGGAUUCUGAAUCUCACGAUGGAGUAAUCGUAGACCCAAUGCUGAAUAACUCAGACUCUAGUUCUAGCGGUGGAUCAGGCCAUGAUGAUACCGAUGAAGAGGAGCAGCUUUUGCCAGUGGAUGGAAAUACUGCUACAUCUUCUGUUGAAGACAUUACUGAAGGCGAGUUGUGGUAUGAACUGGAGAAGGAGCUUAAGAGGCAGGAGCAUGAAGUCAAUGUCGAGGCCCGAGAGGAAGAAGCUGCCGCAGUGAAAGAAAUAACCGAGGAAGAAGAUAUGCUAGUUGACGUUGCAGAAAGCAGCACGUCGAUCUCUUCCUCGGAUGUUUCAGAGAACCAUCGUUUCUAUCCCCCUGGCAGAAUCAUGCACAUUAUAUCAGUCCCUUCAUCCUAUCCUACUAAAUUAGAUGACAACGGGCCACCGGCUGAAGAGCGAGUGCGUAUAUACGAGACACGUAGAGAACUGUACAGUAAGCUUCGACUUUCUAGAACGAUGAUUAAUGAUCACUACAUGCCUAUGUAUAAGAAAAUGAUGGAAUUGUUGAUCAGGGAACUGGAAAAUGAUGAAUCCAGUAAUUGUAUCAUGUGAAAAGACUAAAUCAAUGCAAGAUCAUUUAUGUUGCAUGCCCUAUCUGAGUGCACACUGCACAGUUAGAUUUUAUAUCCGUGUUUCUUGUUCUAUGGGUAUAACUGCUUAUAUCCACAUCCAUGAUAAGUUAAAAUGACAGAAGCACUUUUGGAAUCAGCCAUUUUACUUUAAGCUGUUAAUGAUGUUAUUGGGGCCAAGCUUCCGCACAUGCUUGGUAUAGACCCAACUUGGAUGCUUAUUCUGUAUCCAAAGAAUCCACCACCACAAAAUUUGCAAGUUGAGAAUCAUCCGGAUUCAGCACUGUAAAUCCCCAGCCAGCCCCACCAUUAUAUUUCUUUCUAUUGGAGGAUAAGGUCCCGACAUUUUCAGAUUUUUAAGGUCCCGUCAAUUUCAGAUUUUUUUAUACAACAGGUUUGCCAAAAAAAAAAAAAAAAAAAAAAAAAAGGUUUGCAAAAGCAUAAGAGCACUUCCAGUGCGGUAAGGCUCUCCUGGAUAAUAGGCAUCUUAAUUAUCUUAAUGCAUAGUAAUAAUAACUGGUCAAAUGUAUUUUCACUUCUAAAUUGAAUAGCCUAGGAAAUUCUUAUUAAAAUAUUGGGUUAAUCUCUAUUUACUACCUUGAAGUUUCGUGGUUUUCAACAUUUAGUGCAUGAAAUUUUUUUCGUCCCAGAGUCAUACCUAAAGUGUUAAUUUUGGGACAGUUUCAAAUAUUAACACUUUAGGUAUGACUCUGGGAUGAAAAAAACUUUAUGUACUAAAUGUUGAAAACCAUGAAACUUCAUGUAGUAAACAGAGAUUAACCCCAAAAUAUUAGUAUUUUUUUAUUUUAUAAAAUAAUAAAAGAUAACUUUUAUUUUUAAUUUCGGAUAAUAAUAAAAUAUUGAUUGAAAGUAUUUGAAAUAUAGUGUAAAGCGGAAGAACAUGGUUAGGUACUUAUAGAAAAUAAUUAUAAUUUUUUUAUACUUUAAUUAGUUUCUUUAUAAAUUUUUAUAUAUUUUUCUAAUAACUUUUUAUAAUUUUUUAAUAAUUUAAAUUGUGGCUGAUGUCAUGAUGACUUCAACCUUGCGUCAUAUAAGUAGGGUGCUGGGCCAGACGAUUCUUGCCUGACUUUUUCAUUGAGCUUGCCUUGAGCUCAAUUGCUCGAGUGAGUUGGAGUGUUUUGGGGAGGGGUGUGGAUUGGGUUGCCUAUCCCCAAGGCAAUAAGCAACAAUGGAGUUGCUCUAAGUAUAUUGAAAUUUUUAUCGGAUUUUUUAUUUCUUUCUGUUUACUAAAAUUGUGUCGAUAUCAAAAUUUUUAUCAGAUUUUUAUACGUGACUUCCCUUUUGUUAGGGGUGUGCACUUGAAAUUGAAAACCAAAACCGAUACACGUAUAAAACAGAACCGCAAGUUUAAGAAACUGUUUGAUUUCGAUUCUUAAUAUCUGGAACCGAACAGAAAACUAACCACACCAUAUAAUAUAAAAAAAUAUUUAUUUUAAUAGUCAAUUAGGUGUCAUAAUAUAAUUGGUUAUUUGGUUGAGUCCAUACAUUUAAUAUGGACUCAUCCACAUCGUAACUUGGCCUUGACUCAUUCGAAUUUAGGCAUCGCCUCUCUUACUCUUAAUCACAACCAGAAUGACAAGUUCCAAGGUAAUCUUACACUUCUGGUUCACAAGGUAAGGUUCAAUGGUUUCUCAUCCAUCAGUUUCACUUUCACAAGGUCUAAGGUCUUCCCAAGUAUUGCUUUCUCAAACUUGAAUGUCUUCUCAAGCCCGUUCACAAGCUUAAAAGCCUCCUAAACCUUCAUAGAGUAAAGUCUCUAAAAGGAAAGGGAAAAAGAAAGGGUUGAGCGAUUUAAAGCAUCAAAACUUUGUUGGUGAAUUGCAUGAGCAAUUUAUUUUUUCGUUGUACUAAUAUUUAUGCCAUAAUACAUUUUGAUGUUGAACUUUGUUUGAACUUUAAUUUAAGUAUGGUAGUUUACUUUUUCAAUUGGGUUGUAUUAAAGUAAUGAAUAAGGCAUUUUGAUGUUGAACUUUGUUUGAAUUUUAGUAUGGUGAUGGUGAUCUUGAAUUGUUUUCAAUUGGGUUGUAUUAAUGCUAUAAAGCAUUUAGUUUGCAAAUGACUAGGUUUUGAACUUUGUAAUUUGUUUGAAUGUUUUAUACUUGUAUUAAUGCAAAUCUUUUAAUGGGCCUACCGGUGAGGCACAUAUCAAAACCAAAAUCGUUUGAAAUCAAAUCGAACUGAACCAAAACUAAUGGUUUGGUUUUAUUUCGGUUCUUACCCCAAAACUGCAACAACCCAACAACAACAACAACAACAACAAAGCCUUUUCCCACUAAGUGGGGUCGGCUAUAUGAAUCCUAGAACGCCAUUGCGCUCGGUUUUGUGUCAUGUCCUCCAUUAGAUCCAAGUACGCUAAGUCUUUUCUUAGAGUCUCUUCCAAAGUUUUCCUAGGUCUUCCUCUACCCCUUCGGCCCUGAACCUCUGUCCUGUAGUCACAUCUUCGAACCGGAGCGUCAGUAGGCCUUCUUUGCACAUGUCCAAAUCGCCGGAACCGAUUUUCUCUCAUCUUUCCUUCAAUUUCGGCUACUCCUACUUUACCUCGGAUAUCCUCAUUCCCAAUCUUAUCCUUUCUCGUGUGCCCACACAUCCCACGAAGCAUCCUCAUCUCCGCUACACCCAUUUUGUGUACGUGUUGAUACUUCACCGCCCAACAUUCUGUGCCAUACAACAUCGCUGGCCUUAUUGCCGUCCUAUAAAAUUUUCCCUUGAGCUUCAGUGGCCUACGACGGUCACACAACACGCCGGAUGCACUCUUACACUUCAUCCAUCCAGCUUGUAUUCUAUGGUUGAGAUCUCCCUCUAAUUCUCCGUUCUCUUGCAAGAUAGAUCCUAGGUAGCGAAAACGGUCGCUUUUUGUGAUCUUCGCUAGAUUGCUCCGGUCAUUAGUGUGGAUAAGUAUAUAAAUGGAUAGAGAUAGGAAAGCAAACACAAGAUGUACGUGGUUCACCCAGAUUGGCUACGUCCACGGAAUAGAGGAGUUCUCAUUAAUUGUGAAGGGUUUACACAAGUACAUAGGUUCAAGCUCUCCUUUAGUGAGUACAAGUGAAUGAUUUAGUACAAAUGACAUUAGGAAAUAUUGUGGGAGAAUGAUCUCGUAAUCACGAAACUUCUAAGUAUCGGAGUGUGGUAUCGUCUUGACUUGCCUUAUCUGUCUCAUAGGUAGAUGUGGCAUCUUCUCUGGAAGUACUCUUCCUCCAUCCAGGGGUGGUAUCUUUAACUGGUGGAGAUGCACAAGGUAAUGUAUCAAUUUCACUUGAAGCUUACUUGUAGUUUCAGGCUUGGUCAAGCGCGAUACAAACCAUGUAGUAGGAGUCCCCCAAGUCGCCGAGCUAGGGGAUCUGCUGAAAGAGGUGACAGACAAGGUAAGCAAUCAGAGCUCCGGCUGAUUGUUCACAUUCUCCCUUAUCUUGCAGGCAGCAUGAAGGAUAAAGAGAAGAAAAAAUGAGAAGAGAUGAUAUGAGAUACUUUUGCUUUUGAAGAAGUAACUUUCCACAGGCUUAUUCUUGAACUGAGCUGGAGGGUUUUCUGGUUUCCUCCAGAGUAUAAGGCCGACUGAAGAAUUUGAGGGUCAAAACAAGUCCAUCAAAUCUAGAGUACGUUCGACCCUGCUGAUAUGGGAUACUUUUGCUUUUGACAGAGUAAUGGAUGUAUCGGCACGUGUGCUGUUACGCUUGUCUCCACAUGCUUCCUUGUAUCCUUCGCACUUGCCCUAUCUGUUCCUCAAGGCAGAUGCGGUAUCUUCCCUGGAAGCAUAAGAUGUUGAAGAUGAGUACUCGAGAGCAAUGCCAGGUAAGUAAUCAGGUAAGGGGUUCCAGGCAGUCAGUUCCUGGCUGGAAGCUUGAUUCCAAGUGCUGACUGAUUGCUCUCUUUCUCCUUGUCUUGCAGGUAAGAACAAGGCCAAAGGAAAAAAGACAGGGAAAAAGCAUGAUAUGGGAUACUCUUGCUUUUAACCCUGAUGAUAUGAGAUAUUCUUGCUCUAGUAUAGCUUGUUUGCAGAGGUAUUAUCGGGGGGGGGGAAAGAAAGCUGAAUAUUUCGAAAGGCUUCGUUGGGAGUGCCCUCUCAGAUAUGAUGAAGGGUUGAGCAUUUUUUGCAGGUCUGCCUGUCCGUUGGGGAUGGAGGUCGACAUAUAUAGGAGUCUCCCUAACAAGUAGUAAUGUUAUUCCUUUACCCUGCUUGGUCAUAGCACGGUAGUGGGAGCUGUCAGCUUCACAUGUUUUAACUCUGUCAGAGCACUUUGAAAAAGUGGUCUGUGGUAUCUGGAAAGCUGAUGUUGCGUGUGAAGAUUACAGACAAGCUUUAUCCAAGGAGAUCCGGCUCUUGAAGUUGGGAAAGUGGUGCCUCUUCGGUUUUCGAACAAGCAAUCCUAUCGAGGAUACGAUGCCUCUUCGAUUUUUGAGAAAGCAAUCAUGCUGGGGGUCUGGCUCUCGAGAUUCGGAGAGCAGUGUCUCUUCGAUUUUUGAGAGAAAGUAAUCAUGUUGGGAGUCUGGCUCUCGAGAUUCGGAGGGCGGUGCCUCUUCGAUUUUGGAGCAAGCAAUCUUGUUGGGAGUGUUUUUUCUCGAAUGUGAGUAAAGGUUGGGCAUGUUUGCUAGUCUACCUUGCCACGAAGCACAAAGAUUGACACACAGGGACUUUCCAAUUAUCCAGCAAUGGUACUGUUCCUUUACCCUCUCUUCGAUUUUGAGAAAGUAGUCAUGUUGGGAGUCUGGCUCUCGAGAUUCGGAGGACGGUGCCUCUUCGAUUUUGGAGCAAGCAAUCUUGUUGGGAGUGUUUUUCUCGAAUGUGAGUAAAGGUUGGGCAUGUUUGCUAGUCUACCUUGCCACGAAGCACAGAGGUUGACACACAGGGACUUUCCAAUUAUCCAGCAGUGGUACUGUUCCUUUACCCUUGUGGGUAAUAAUAUGGUAGCUAGACCUUCAAAAUUUAUGUGUCUAAACUUUGUUAGUGCUGUUUCUUUGCUAUUCUUUUACCCUUCUUGGUCAGAGCGAUGUAGUGGGAGCUGCAAGCUUCACGUGCUCAACUUUGGCAGAGAACUUUGGCAAAGUUAUCUGUGGUACCCAUGAGCUAUUGUUGCGUGUGGGAAGUGGGUGAUUGAACAGUAAGAUUCAUGUGCUUUCUACUUCACCAGAAGUCUUCGACAGAAUGCCCAUAAUUUCUGCAAAGCUGAGUGUGCGUGUGACAGGUGCUGACAAGGCUAGAAAAGUAGGUGCCUCUUCGAUUUCUGAGAUCGGCCCUCGUGGUCUCUGAGCAGCCCAGCUUUUGAGAAAGCGAGCGCCUCUUCGAUUGAUUCGGAGAACGAUGCCUCAUCGAUUUUUGAGAAAGCAAUCAUGCUGGGGGUCUGGCUCUCGAGAUUCGGGGAGCAGUGUCUCUUCGAUUUUUGAGAAAGUAAUCAUGUUGGGAGUCUGGCUCUCGAGAUUCGGAGGGCGGUGCCUCUUCGAUUUUGGAGCAAGCAAUCUUGUUGGGAGUGUUUUUCUCGAAUGUGAGUAAAGGUUGGGCAUGUUUGCUAGUCUACCUUGCCACGAAGCACAGAGGUUGACACACAGGGACUUUCCAAUUAUCCAGCAAUGGUACUGUUCCUUUACCCUCUCUUCGAUUUUUUAAGAAAGUAGUCAUGUUGGGAGUCUGGCUCUCGAGAUUCGGAGGACGGUGCCUCUUCGAUUUUGGAGCAAGCAAUCUUAUUGGGAGUGUUUUCUCGAAUGUGAGUAAAGGUUGGGCAUGUUUGCUAGUCUACCUUGCCACGAAGCACAGAGGUUGACACACAGGGACUUUCCAAUUAUCCAGCAGUGGUACUGUUCCUUUACCCUUGUGGGUAAUAAUAUGGUAGCUAGACCUUCAAAAUUUAUGGGUCUAAACUUUGUUAGUGCUGUUUCUUUGCUAUUCUUUUACCCUUCUUGGUCAGAGCGAUGUAGUGGGAGCUGCAAGCUUCACGUGCUCAACUUUGGCAGAGAACUUUGGCAAAGUUAUCUGUGGUACCCAUGAGCUAUUGUUGCGUGUGGGAAGUGGGUGAUUGAACAGUAAGAUUCAUGUGUUUUCUACUUCCCCAGAAGUCUUUCGACAGAAUGCCCAUAAUUUCCGCAAAGCUGAGUGUGCGUGUGACAGGUGCUGACAAGGCUGGAAAAGUAGGUGCCUCUUCGAUUUCUGAGAUCGGCCCUCGUGGUCUCUGAGAGCCCAGCUUUUGAGAAAGCGAGCGCCUCUUCGAUUUCUGAGAUCGGCCUUCGUGGUCUUUGAGCAGCCCAACUUUUGAGAAAGCAAACGCCUCUUCGAUUUCUGAGAUCAACCCUCGUGGUCUCUAAGCAGCCCAGCUUUUGAGAAAGCAAACGCCUCUUCGAUUUCUGAAGCUCCGUCGAGUGCAGAUUUUUAUAGGGGCUGGCAUUAAGUUCCAAAGCACACUUGAAUCUCCACCAGUAGAAGCUUCCAUUCUUGCACUUCUAAGAUCUUGAUUUGUCCGACCUCUUCUCUCUUCAACACCUUUGAAAAUGUCUGGCCCCUCCGACCGUCGUUUUGACUUGAACCUUGUUGAAGAGGCAGCCCCGCCUUCUCCAGACAACAUAUGGCGCCCAUCCUUCGUCUCCCCUACUGGUCCUCUACCGUUGGGGAUUCCGUGAUGAAGAAUGAUAUGACCGCUGCGGUGGUGGCCAGGAACCUUCUCACUCCCAAAGAUAACAGACUACUUUCCAAACGGUCUGAUGAGUUAGCUGUUAAGGAUUCGCUGGCUCUCAGUGUUCAGUGUGCAGGUUCUGUGUCUAAUAUGGCCCAACGCCUAUUUGCUCGAACCCGCCAAGUUGAAUCAUUGGCGGCUGAAGUGAUGAGUCUCAAACAGGAGAUUAGAGGGCUCAAGCAUGAGAAUAAACAGUUGCACCGGCUCGCACAUGACUAUGCUACAAACAUGAAGAGGAAGCUUGACCAGAUGAAGGAAAUCUGAUGGUCAGGUUUUACUUGAUCAUCAGAGAUUUGUGGGUUUGUUCCAAAGGCAUUUAUUGCCUUCGUCUUCUGGGGCUGUACCGCGUAAUGAAGCUCCAAAUGAUCAACCUCUGAUGCCUCCUCCUUCUAGGGUUCUGUCCAGUACUGAGGCUCCGAAUGAUCCCCCUCCGGUGCCUUCUCUUUCUGGGGCUCUACCGACUGCUGAGACUUCUCCUAAGCAACCUUUGUGAAGGCUCCCUCUUGUUUGUUUAUUUUGACUCAUGUAUAUGUACAUAUUUGUAGCUUAUCGGGGAUAUCAAUAAAUAAGCUUUCCUUCAUUUCAACGUAUUGUGUUAAAUACACCAAAGCCUUCUUCGCUAAGUUCUUUGAAUUUUCUUUUGUUGAAGCUUGUAUGUUGAAGCUUUGUGAGUGGAGCAUGUAGGUUGAGGUAGUGUUCCCUUAAUUUCCCGAGUGAGGAAAACUUCUCGGUUGGAGACUUGGAAAAUCCAAGUCACUGAGUGGGAUCGGCUAUAUGAAUCUUAGAACGCCAUUGUGCUCGAUCCUGUGUCAUGUCCUUCGUUAGAUCCAAGUACUCUAAGUCUUUUCUUAGAGUCUCUUCCAAAGUUUUCCUAGGUCUUCCUCUACCCCUUCGGCCCUGAACCUCUGUCCCAUAGUCGCAUCUUCUAAUCGGAGCGUCAGUAGGCCUUCUUUGCACAUGUCCAAACCACCGUAACCGAUUUUCUCUCAUCUUUCCUUCAAUUUCGGCUACUCCUACUUUACCCCGGAUAUCCUCAUUCCUAAUCUUAUCCUUUCUCGUGUGCCCACACAUCCAACGAAGCAUCCUCAUCUCCGCUACACCCAUUUUGUGUACGUGUUGAUGCUUCACCGCCCAACAUUCUGUGCCAUACAGCAUCGCCGGCCUUAUUGCCGUCCUAUAAAAUUUUCCCUUGAGCUUCAGUGGCAUACGGCGGUCACACAACACGCCGGAUGCACUCUUCCACUUCAUCCAUCCAGCUUGUAUUCUAUGGUUGAGAUCUCCAUCUAAUUCUCCGUUCUUUUGCAAGAUAGAUCCUAGGUAACGAAAACGGUCGCUCUUUGGUAUUUCUUGAUCUCCGAUCCUCACCCCUAACUCGUUUUGGCCUCCAUUUGCACUGAACUUGCACUCCAUAUAUAUUCUGUCUUUGAUCGGCUUAGGCGAAGACCUUUAGAUUCCAACACUUCUCUCCAAAGGUUAAGCUUUGCAUUUACCCCUUCCUGAGUUUCAUCUAUCAACACUAUAUCGUCUGCGAAAAGCAUACACCAAGGAAUAUCAUCUUGAAUAUGUCCUGUUAACUCAUCCAUUACCAACGCAAAAAGGUAAGGACUUAAGGAUGAGCCUUGAUGUAAUCCUACAGUUAUGGGAAAGCUUUCGGUUUGUCCUUCAUGAGUUCUUACGGCAGUCUUUGCUCCUUCAUACAUAUCCUUUAUAGCUUGGAUAUAUGCUACUCGUACUCCUUUCUUCUCUAAAAUCCUCCAAAGAAUGUCUCUUGGGACCCUAUCAUACGCUUUUUCCAAAUCUAUAAAGACCAUGUGUAAAUCCUUUUUCCCAUCUCUAUAUCUUUCCAUCAAUCUUCGUAAGAGAUAGAUUGCCUCCAUGGUUGAGCGCCCUGGCAUGAACCCGAAUUGGUUGUCCGAAACCCGUGUCUCUUGCCUCAAUCUAUGCUCAAUGACUCUCUCCCAGAGCUUCAUUGUAUGACUCAUUAGCUUAAUACCCCUAUAGUUCAUGCAAUUUUGUACGUCGCCCUUAUUCUUGUAGAUAGGCACCAAAGUGCUCGUUCGCCACUCAUUUGGCAUCUUCUUCGUUUUCAAAAUCCUAUUGAAAAGGUCAGUGAGCCAUGUGUUAUACCUGUCUCUCCCAAAACUUUCCACACUUCGAUUGGUAUAUCGUCUGGGCCUAUUGCUUUUCUAUGCUUCAUCUUCUUCAAAGCUACAACCACUUCUUCCUUCCGGAUUCGACGAUAAAAAGAGUAGUUUCUACACUCUUCUGAGUUACUCAACUCCCCUAAAGAAGCACUCCUUUCAUGUCCUUCAUUGAAAAGAUUAUGAAAAUAACCUCUCCAUCUGUCUUUAACCGCGUUCUCUGUAGCAAGAACCUUUCCAUCCUCAUCCUUGAUGCACCUCACUUGGUUUAGGUCCCUUGUCUUCUUUUCCCUUGCUCUAGCUAGUUUAUAGAUAUCCAACUCUCCUUCUUUGGUAUCUAGUCGUUUAUACAUAUCGUCGUAAGCCGCUAACUUAGCUUCUCUGACAGCUUUCUUCGCCUCUUGCUUCGCUUUUCUAUACCUUUCACCAUUUUCAUCGGUCCUAUCCUUGUAUAAGGCUUUACAACAUUCCUUCUUAGCCUUCACCUUUGUUUGUACCUCCUCAUUCCACCACCAAGAUUCCUUUUGGUGUGGGGCAAAGCCCUUGGACUCUCCUAAUACCUCUUUUGCUACUUUUCGGAUACAACUAGCCAUGGAAUCCCACAUUUGGCUAGCUUCCCCCUCUCUAUCCCACACACAUUGGGUGAUUACUUUCUCUUUGAAAAUGGCUUGUUUUUCUUCUUUUAGAUUCCACCAUCUAGUCCUUGGGCACUUCCAAGUCUUGUUCUUUUGUCUCACUCUUUUGAUAUGUACAUCCAUCACCAACAAGCGAUGUUGAUUAGCCACGCUCUCUCCUGGUAUAACUUUGCAAUCCUUACAAGUUAUACGAUCCCCUUUCCUCAUUAGAAGAAAAUCUAUUUGUGUUUUUGACGACCCACUCUUGUAGGUGAUCACAUGUUCUUCUCUCUUCUUAAAGAAGGUGUUGGCUAAGAAGAGAUCAUAUGCCAUUGCAAAAUCCAAGAUAGCUUCCCCAUCCUCGUUUCUCUCCCCAAAACCAUGGCCACCAUGAAAACCUCCAUAGUUGCCUGUCUCCCUGCCCACGUGUCCAUUUAAAUCUCCUCCUAUAAAUAACUUCUCCGUCUGAGCAAUUCCUUGCACCAAGUCUCCAAGGUCUUCCCAAAAUUUCUCCUUCGAACUCGUAUCCAACCCUACUUGAGGUGCGUACGCACUAAUCACAUUGAUAAGUUCUUGUCCUAUUACAAUCUUGAUUGCCAUGAUUCUAUCUCCUACCCUCUUGACAUCUACAACAUCUUGUGUCAAGGUCUUGUCCACGAUGAUGCCAACACCGUUUCUCGUUCUAUUUGUGCCCGAAUACCAAAGUUUAAACCCUGAGUUUUCUAGAUCCUUUGCCUUACUACCAACCCACUUAGUUUCUUGUAGGCACAUAAUAUUUAUCCUUCUCCUCACCAUAACUUCCACUACUUCCAUAGAUUUUCCCGUUAAGGUUCCUAUAUUCCACGUUCCUAAACGCAUUUUGCUCUCUUGAACUCUACCCUUCUGUCCUAGCUUCUUCACCCUCCCCCGUCUAAUAGGAUCAAAGUACUUCUUUUGUGUGUCCCGUGUAAAGUUGAUAGGAGCAUAUGCUCCCAAACAACUUUGAGUGGAGUCGUUCGAAAAGAAGUUUCUAUGGCCCCCUUGCUCAUUUAACACUGCAUCCGGGUGCCGAUGGAGAUACAGCGACCCUUGCUCACUUAUCACUGUGCUCGGGCCACACAGCACGCCACUUACGGGUGACGCCCUAGCUUUAGCGCGAUUUCGUUCUGGAUUCAUUUUCAUAAGGAUUCGACGUGAUCAUGGAGUGCCGGCUGUCGACUACCUGACGCCCUCCCCCUCUUCCUUUAUCCUGGCUUGGGACCGGCAAUGUAAGAACAUAGGCGGAGUUUGACACAUUGUAAAUAACAUUUCACAAAAAAAAAACCUAGAAAAAACUAAACUAAUUACACUCGGAUUGCAAUGUUAUCAUUUAGCAGAAGAUCCUGCAUCUGCAAAGGAUCCUUUAAAACCUUUUUUCUUGAACAGCCCCGCACUGCAACACAUCCAGGCAAGGUAAACCAACAGCACCCUCAUGCUGAGCUCUCUUAAGCAGCACAAAAUGAUAUCCUCUGCAUUUCAUUCCAAAAUCCAUCACUCUUAUGUCUUUGCCUGCACAGA
rnacentral:lncRNA from 1 species